GCACAAAUUAUAAAACAUGUCUUUUCUCUCCUCCACCGCUCUCUUCUUCUUUAUCGUUCUUCUUAAUCUGAGUUCUUUUCACGCCUCCGAUGGAGCUCAACAAGCUACUUACAUUGUUCACAUGGCGAAAUCUCAGAUGCCCUCGAGCUUCGACCACCACUCUCUCUGGUACGAUUCCUCACUCCGCUCAGUCUCAGAAUCCGCUGAAAUGAUCUACACCUACAACAAUGCGAUACAUGGAUUCGCCACUCGGCUUACUCCCGAAGAAGCCGACUCCCUCAUGACCCAACCUGGUGUCAUCUCGGUUCAACAAGAGCAGAAGUACGAGUUACACACCACUCGAACUCCACUAUUCCUUGGUCUCGACGGACAAAACGCAGGCCUAUUCCUCGAAACCGGCGCCUCAAGCGACAUUAUCCGUCGCUACGUCUUGACCGAUCCGAAUCCCACCACUUCCAUUUUGAUCAGAGGAACAGUCGUGAACGUCCGGCCAUCUCCGAUGGUUGCGACGUUUAGCUCGCGGGGACCUAAAACGAUAAUGCCAAACAUUCUCAAACUGGAUUUGAUAGCUCCGGGAGUCAAUAUCCUCGCCGCAUGGACCGGAGCUCGCGGGGACCUAAUACGAUACUCGCCGCGUGGAAUUCAACAUCAAGUCAGGAGCGUCCAUGUCUUGCCCUCACGUGAGCGGUUUGGCGGCUCUUCUCAUGUCUGUGCAUCUGGAAUGGAGCCCGGCGGCGAUUCGAUCGGCUCUCAUGACCACCGCUUACAAUACUUACAAAGACGGAAAACCGAUCCUCGACGUCGCGACGGGAAAACCUUCAACACCGUUCGAGCACGGGUCGCCCACGACGGCCGUUAAUCCAGGACUCAUCUACGAUCUAACAACGGAGGAUUAUAUAGAUUUCAUCUGCGCAUCGAAUUACAAUUCGUCGCUGAUCACAAUCAUAUCGAGAGGCAAUUACGCUUGUCCAAGAAAAACGCACCCCGCCGCUGAUCUAAACUAUCCGUCGUUCGCCGUUAACGUCAAAGGAUCCGGCACGUACAAGUACACCCGCACUGUCACAAACGUGGGAGGAGCUGGGUCAUACUCGGUUAAAGUAACGUCGGAGACAACGGCAGUCAAGAUUUCGGUUGAACCGCCGGUUUUGAAUUUCAAAGAAGUGAACGAGAAGAAAUCGUAUUCGGUGACGUUUACCGUUGUCUCAUCUAAGGCGCCAAGGUCUAACAGCUUCGGGAGCAUCGAAUGGUCAGAUGGAAAACACGUAGUGGCGAGUCCCGUGGCGAUUAGAUAGACAUAGGUGGUCAAUUAUGUCAAACUUGAGUAAGAAGAAAGCCACAGAUAUUGUAAUGCCGUUUAUCAUAAGAUCUCUGUUUAGCGAAAACGGCAUGCAGUCUGUUUUAUAAGUAAUUUCUCAUGAGACUUGAAUAUUUAAUGAAAAGUAAAAAUUGGUGACGACUAUGUUAGCUGGCUAGUGUCUUAUGACUAUUUUUAUUCGGAAAGGGCAUCUCCAAUAGUGCAUCAAAAUAAGGGAGAACAUACAAAAAUGAAGGAAAUCUAUUUCCAAUGUUACAUCAUUUUGAGAAAAAAAAAAUGAGUAUAUGAACGGUAUUCUUUCAAAUUUGAGGGAAUAUUAUUAAAAAUCUCAUUUUGAUGUUAAGUUUUUUUAUUUAUAUAAUGGUCAUUUACUAUUUGACAAUCUUUAUUUUAUGCAUAAAAAACAUUAACACUAAACAUAACUUUCAUAACUUUAUAUCAAUUAUGUAUAUACUGGUUAAACUUCUUAAAAUAUAAUUACCAAUAAUUAAUUAUUAAAAUAUAAUUUAUAAUUUUAUAGAUUAUAAUAUAUAAUUAAAAGAAAAUAAAAUAGAAAACAAUACCAUUAAGAUACAUAACUAAUACAAAGUUAAGAAAAACACAACAAACUUAAUACAACAUUUAACAAGAAUUGAGAGAGAAAAUGAAAAAAACCACUGGAGCAAAUCACAAACUCAUUUUAAAUUUAUUUCAUUUUGUAAGAAAAAAUGAUGGAAACCAUCGGAAAUGGUCUAAGUUUUGGACAUUGAAGAUACUAACAAUUAUUAAAUUAGUUUAUAAGAUAUGAAAUAUACUAGGCAUGCAUUACUAGUUCAUGACUGAUUUAAUGACUAAUCUUGAUUCACGUUGCAUGAAUGUGAACCACUCAACGUAGGAAACUAGACUUGUAAUUGUGAGGUUUGGUCAAAGUCCAUCAGACAUGUUCAAUGUUGGGCCGGCUUGCACAAGUUACGCGCGGAGAACAUAUGGACCUAAUCGUUGAAGCCCAUUAGGUCAAGUACUGAUACAAAUAAGGAAAGAUCACGACAGGGAUCUCCAAGCUCAAGCUGAGCCUCUAGGAGGUGAGAGCUUCCAUGGGGUCUCUUGGAGAGAUAGAGUAAGCUAGUGAUAGAUAUGUAAUCCUAGGCUUAGCUCUUAGCCAUGUACUUCUCUUGUAAUAUCUUUAUACUCUCUAGGGUUUGUAUACCCAGGACAGAGAGAGUAAUGAUCUUGUAAACCACAUCGGAGGUGUUUUCCGAUACUCCAUAGUGGAUGUUGUGGAUCCUGGAUCCGCCCCAAAUGUAGCGCGCUGCGGCCGUGAAAUGGGUGAACAAUUCUUGAGUCAUGAACAAGGAUGAAUCGUUUGAGUAGUGAAAGGGACAGAGGUAUUAUGAGCUUGUAUUCCGCAACAAGUGGGUAUCAUAACCCCCACAAGUGGUAUCAGAGCAUAUGAAUACCCCACAAGUGGUAUCAGAGCAUAGGCUCAUUGAUUCAUGGAGUCCACGUCUCGAGGAGGAGAGACAUAUGAAGAAGCUUCCAAGCGAGACAGAAGAAACUCGCAAGGUUUAAUGGAAGCUGGUGGUCACGUGGUUCUACACACGUGGAAUUCUGAUUAUGUUAAAAAUCAGAGGAUAAACCGAGUUACAAGAUCAGGUUAAAGAGAUUUUUGGUUUACAAGAGAANNNNNNNNNNNNNNNNNNNNNNNNNNNNNNNNNNNNNNNNNNNNNNNNNNNNNNNNNNNNNNNNNNNNNNNNNNNNNNNNNNNNNNNNNNNNNNNNNNNNNNNNNNNNNNNNNNNNNNNNNNNNNNNNNNNNNNNNNNNNNNNNNNNNNNNNNNNNNNNNNNNNNNNNNNNNNNNNNNNNNNNNNNNNNNNNNNNNNNNNNNNNNNNNNNNNNNNNNNNNNNNNNNNNNNNNNNNNNNNNNNNNNNNNNNNNNNNNNNNNNNNNNNNNNNNNNNNNNNNNNNNNNNNNNNNNNNNNNNNNNNNNNNNNNNNNNNNNNNNNNNNNNNNNNNNNNNNNNNNNNNNNNNNNNNNNNNNNNNNNNNNNNNNNNNNNNNNNNNNNNNNNNNNNNNNNNNNNNNNNNNNNNNNNNNNNNNNNNNNNNNNNNNNNNNNNNNNNNNNNNNNNNNNNNNNNNNNNNNNNNNNNNNNNNNNNNNNNNNNNNNNNNNNNNNNNNNNNNNNNNNNNNNNNNNNNNNNNNNNNNNNNNNNNNNNNNNNNNNNNNNNNNNNNNNNNNNNNNNNNNNNNNNNNNNNNNNNNNNNNNNNNNNNNNNNNNNNNNNNNNNNNNNNNNNNNNNNNNNNNNNNNNNNNNNNNNNNNNNNNNNNNNNNNNNNNNNNNNNNNNNNNNNNNNNNNNNNNNNNNNNNNNNNNNNNNNNNNNNNNNNNNNNNNNNNNNNNNNNNNNNNNNNNNNNNNNNNNNNNNNNNNNNNNNNNNNNNNNNNNNNNNNNNNNNNNNNNNNNNNNNNNNNNNNNNNNNNNNNNNNNNNNNNNNNNNNNNNNNNNNNNNNNNNNNNNNNNNNNNNNNGCGGGUCCGAGUCCUCUCUCAAGUCUGCCUCAGAAUCUGCUGAAAUGCUCUACACUUACAACAGCGCAAUACAUGGAUUCGCCACUCGGCUUACUCCCGAAGAAGCCGACUCCCUCAUGACCCAACCUGGUGUCAUCUCGGUUCGACAAGAGCAGCGGUACGAGUUACACACCACUCGGACUCCACUAUUCCUAGGUCUAGAUGUACACAACGGAGGCCUAUUCCCCGAAACCAGCACAUCUAGCAACCUUGUCAUUGGAGUUCUUGACACUGGUAUUUGGCCAGAGAGCAAAAGCUUCUCCGACGAAGGAUACGGUCCUAUUCCGUCGACAUGGAAAGGCGAAUGCGAGGCUGGGACUAACUUCACCGCUUCGCUCUGUAACCGCAAACUAGUAGGAGCUAGAUUCUUCGCUGGGGGUUACGAAGCAAGAGUGGGACCAGUCAACGAAUCCAUGGAAUCAAGAUCGCCUAGAGACGACGAAGGUCACGGAACACACACGGCGUCAACAGCAGCGGGAUCAGUCGUGGAAGGAGCUAAUCUUUUAGGGUUUGCUAAUGGAACGGCUCGUGGGAUUGCUUAUCGCGCUCGAGUGGCUGUUUACAAAGUUUGUUGGCAACCUGGUUGCUUCAGCUCAGAUAUUUUAGCUGGAAUGGAUAAAGCCAUCGAAGAUAAUGUCAACGUUCUGUCUAUAUCUCUCAGCGGUCCAAGGACAGAUUAUACAGACGAUAUUGCCGUUGGAGCAUUCGCGGCCAUGGAAAGAGGGAUCUUUGUUUCUUGCUCAGCUGGCAAUUUUGGUCCCAGCCCUUUCAGUGUAGCGAACAUAGCUCCGUGGAUUACUACGGUUGGUGCUGGUACUAUUGAUCGUGAUUUUCCCGCCCUUGCGAUUCUCGGCAAUGGGAAGAACUACACUGGAGUUUCGUUAUUUAAAGGAGAUGCACUUCCAGCUAAAAUGUUGCCAUUUAUUUACGCGGGGAAUGCUAGUAACAAUGCUACUUAUGGAAAUUUUUGUAUCUCCGGAACACUAAUUCCUGAGAAGGUAAAGGGGAAGAUCGUAAUGUGCGAUACAGGAGGAAAUCAAGCUAGGAAAGGGGAGGUGGUGAAAGCUGCUGGUGGACUCGGAAUGAUUCUAGCGAAUUUGGCAGAGGAAGGAGAAGAAGUUCAGGCGGAGGCUCACUUUUUACCGGCGACCGCUGUGGGAGAGAAAGCCGGUGACAUUAUCCGCCGCUACGUCUUGACCGAUCCGAAUCCAACGGCUUCAGUUGUGAUCCAAGGCACUGUCGUCCACGUCAAGCCCUCUCCUGUGCUUGCAGCAUUUAGCUCGCGAGGACCUAAUCCCAUAACGCCAAACAUUCUCAAACCGGACUUGAUUGCUCCGGGAGUCAAUAUCCUCGCCGCGUGGACCGGAGCUCUGGGUCCCACCGGACUAGCUUCCGAUACUCGCCGCGUGGAAUUCAACAUCAUCUCAGGAACGUCCAUGUCUUGCCCUCACGUGAGCGGUUUAGCGGCUCUUCUCAAGUCUGUGCAUCCCGAAUGGAGCCCGGCCGCGAUUCGAUCUGCUCUCAUGACCACCGCUUACAAUACCUACAAAGACGGCAAACGGAUCCGGGACAUCGCGACGGGGAAACCUUCUACGCCGUUCGAGCACGGUGCAGGACAUGUAUCGCCAACGAUCGCCGUCAAUCCAGGACUCAUCUACGAUCUAACGACGGUGGAUUAUUUAGAUUUCCUCUGCGCAUUGAAAUACAAUUCGUCGCUGAUCAGAAUCAUAUCGAGAGGCAAUUACACUUGCAACCCAAGCAAAAAUUACUCCGUCGCUGAUCUAAACUAUCCGUCGUUUGCCGUUAACGUCGACGGAUCCGACACGUACAAGUACACACGCACUGUCACAAACGUUGGAGGAGCUGGGUCGUACUCGGUUAAAGUAACGUCGGAGACAACGGCAGUCAAAAUUUCGGUUCAACCGGCGGUUUUGAAUUUCAAGGAAGUAAACGAGAAGAAAUCGUAUUCAGUGACGUUUACCGUUGACUCGUCUAAGCCGUCUGGGUCUAACAGCUUUGGGAGCAUUGAGUGGUCAGAUGGGAAACACGUGGUGGCUAGUCCGGUGGCUAUUAGCUGGACAUAGUAGUCAAUUACGACUACCUUGAGAAAGAAGAAAGUCACAUAUAUUGUAAUGUCGUUUUUCAUAAGAGCUCUGUUUAGCGAAAACAGCAUGCAGUCUGUUUUGUACGUAAUUUUUAUCACUAGACUUGAAUAUUUAAUGAAAAGUAAAAAAGUAUGGCUUUUGUUAAAAGCAAUUUCACCUAUUUACAUGAUUGUGAACCACUCUAAGUAGAAAACUAUCACUAAUCAAUUACCUCCAGUGUUUCAUAACAAUGUGACUGCAAUGAGUUUAAACAUAUUUUAAUCUAAUAACAUAAAUCACCAAUAAUAACAAGUUCAUCAGUAUGAGGUACUAAGGAGAGCAAUCGAAAUAACAAACUAUUUUUUUUAAUUGAAAUAACAAAAUGUUUGGCUUUUGUUAAAAGCGAGCAAUUUCACCUAUUUACAUUACACAAAUUUGCAGAGGAAAAUCCAAAAUAAAAGAAAAAGAUAAAAUUCAUGAAUACUGGCACUCGACUCAAAUUUAAUCAAGGUCCAAUUACAACUUGAUAUAGAAUUUUAUUUUCAAAAAUUUAAUAUAAAAAUAAGGACGUGAACAAGAGUCAAAAACCCACCGUGGCAUUAUCUAUCACUCAGGGACCAAUACAAUGGACCAACCUGCCAGCUUUUGAUGUUGCUACAAUUUUUAUUUUUCCUGGUUUAUAAAAAUAUAAACUAAAGUAAAAAGAAAAUCUGAAAAUGUAUCACUGUAAUGUUAGCUAUUUUUAUGUGAUUUUAGUUAGUUUGAUCUGAUAUUCAUGUCGUACCAUACAACCAAAGUCUCUAGUUGCCACUCACAUUAUUUGGAUCCAACCCUCAAAGCCCCAUAGAAUAUAUAUAUAUAUAUAUGGAAAGUAGUUCGUUACUUCGCUUUUGUCUUGUGAUGAGCCUUAAUGGACUUACAAUAUUCUUAAACCCUAAACCCUGAUUUUAAAACACCAAAGCAUUCAUGUCAGCCUAGAGAAUUUGCAGUAGAGAUUCAUACCAGAAAGCCGAGAGUAAGAUGGCAUCCCUUGGAGGAGGAUCUUCCGGAUUAACCGAUGGAUAGCUCACACUCAUUUGCUUCUCUUAUCAUAUAAAAUUUCGGGGAAACAAAUCAAGCGAUGAGUAUAGCUUAUUGAUCAUUUUCCUUUCAAAUACUCGUACACUUCAAAUCUAAUUCAAGUUCUUAUAAGGUAAAACUUUUCUGGCUAGAUUCCAGAAGGUAAACUUGUGUUCACACUUCACAGUCACCUAUAAACCAUCUUUAUAGUCUCAAACAAAUCACAGUCAGUAUAUCUAGUAUAGUAAUCAUUAAUCAGUGUAACUGGAUAAUUAUUUCAUGUCGAACAUAGUAAACUUAUGAGAACAAAAGUCUUUAUCUUUUGUCCUUGGUGAACAGAAGUCUACAAACAUUAAAAUUUACGAAAUAAAUUGAGAGAGAAAUCAAAAUGUGUGUGUGGAAAACCACUGUAACAUACAAACAAAAUAUACUCAAAAUUUUGAAUUUUGCAUUAGUACACACCACCAAAUAAUCUUCUAGAGAUAUGAACUAAGAGGCUAUAUUCACUUUAGUGUUAAAAGUUUUUGAACGUCAUUAUGGUUUUCUCGAUCCCCCAUGAUACUAUCAAACCUAUAAACCGUCUUUAUAGUCUAAAACAAGUCACAGUAAAUAUGAGGAUUAAAAACGUUAAUACUAAUCGGAAACACACAAUCUCAAGAUUAUAAUCUCGAGAUAAUACUAGAGUAUAGUAAUUAGUGUAAUUGGAUAAAUAUUAUUUCAAGUUGAACAUAGGUAAAAAUUAUGCGAACAAAAGUCUUUAUUUUUUGUCUUGGUGAGCAGAAGUCUACAGAGAUUAGAAUUUACGUAAAAACAAAAUUAAUCACUUUCGAAGCAGAAUAGUGGACAGGAGUCUAGUUGCCCAUUAUCUCUUUUUUUUUUUUUUUAAAAACACACUUGUCCAGUAUCUCCUCACUCUCUUUUUAUACUCUAUAUAAUCUCCCUCGCGUCUUUAACAUUUUCCGCACAAAUUAUAAAACAUGUCUUUUCUCUCCUCCACCGCUCUCUUCUUCUUUAUCGUUCUUCUUAAUCUGAGUUCUUUUCACGCCUCCGAUGGAGCUCAACAAGCUACUUACAUUGUUCACAUGGCGAAAUCUCAGAUGCCCUCGAGCUUCGACCACCACUCUCUCUGGUACGAUUCCUCACUCCGCUCAGUCUCAGAAUCCGCUGAAAUGAUCUACACCUACAACAAUGCGAUACAUGGAUUCGCCACUCGGCUUACUCCCGGAGAAGCCGACUCACUCAUGACCCAACCUGGUGUCAUCUCGGUUCAACAAGAGCAGAAGUACGAGUUACACACCACUCGAACUCCAUUAUUCCUUGGUCUCGACGGACAAAACGCAGGACUAUUCCCCGAAACCGGCGCCUCAAGCGACAUAGUCAUAGGAGUUCUGGACACCGGUAUUUGGCCAGAGAGCAAAAGCUUCUCUGAUGAAGGAUACGGUCCAAUUCCAUCUACAUGGAAAGGCGAAUGCCAGGCUGGGACUAACUUCACCGCUUCGCUGUGUAACCGCAAACUAAUCGGAGCUAGAUUCUUCUCUGACGGUUACGAAAGAGAUUAUGGAAAAAUCAACCAAGCCGACGAGUCGAAAUCGCCGAGAGACGACUUCGGUCAUGGAACACACACGGCGUCAACCGCGGCUGGAAACGUCGUGAAAGGAGCUAAUUAUUUAGGCUUUGCUAGUGGGACGGCUAGUGGGAUGGCUCAUCGCGUCCGAGUGUCUGUUUACAAAGUUUGUUGGAAAAGUGCUUGCGUGAGCUCAGAUAUUUUAGCUGGAAUGGAUAAAGCCAUCGAAGAUAAUGUCCACAUUAUGUCAUUAUCUAUCGGUGGUAAAUCGACAAGUUAUACAGGCGAAAUUUCCAUGGGUGCAUUCUCGGCCAUGGAAAGAGGGAUCUUUGUUUCCUGCUCUGCUGGUAAUGAUGGUCCCAGCCCAUCCAGCUUAUCAAACGCAGCUCCCUGGAUUACUACUGUUGGUGCUAGUAGUAUUGACCGUGAGUUUCCCGGGGUUGUGAUCCUCGGCAACGGAAAGAACUAUACUGGAGUUUCGUUGUUCAAUGGAAAUGCUCUUCCUGCUAAAUUGUUGCCGUUUGUUUAUGGAAAUUAUUGUAGCCGCGGAACACUAAAUCCUGAGAAGGUAAAGGGGAAGAUCGUGAUGUGCAUCAAAGAUGACAGUGUAAGGACUGAGAAAGGGGAGGUGGUGAAAGCUGCCGGUGGACUCGGAAUGAUUCUGGCAAAUGCAGCAGGGAGCGGAGAAGAAGUUCUGGCGGAUGCUCAUGUGUUACCUGUGACCGCCGUGGGACAGAAAGCCGGUGACAUUAUCCGUCGCUACGUCUUGACCGAUCCGAAUCCCACCGCUUCCAUUUUGAUCAGAGGAACGGUCGUGAACGUCCGGCCAUCUCCGAUGGUUGCCGCGUUUAGCUCGCGGGGACCUAAUACGAUAACGCCAAACAUUCUCAAACCGGAUUUGAUAGCUCCUGGAGUCAAUAUCCUCGCCGCAUGGACCGGAGCUCUGGGUCCCAGUGGACUCGGAACCACUUCCGAUACUCGUCGCGUGGAAUUCAACAUCAACUCGGGAACGUCCAUGUCUUGCCCUCACGUGAGCGGUUUAGCGGCUCUCCUCAAGUCUGUGCAUCCGGAAUGGAGCCCCGCGGCAAUUCGAUCGGCUCUCAUGACCACCGCUUACAAUACCUACAAAGACGGCAAACCGAUCCUCGACGUCGCGACGGGAAAACCUUCAACACCGUUCGAGCACGGUGCAGGACACGUGUCGCCCACGGCGGCCGUCAAUCCAGGACUCAUCUACGAUCUAACGACGGAGGAUUAUAUAGAUUUCAUCUGCGCAUCGAAUUAUAAUUCGUCGCUGAUCACAAUCAUAUCGAGAGGCAAUUACGCUUGUCCAAGAAAAACGCACCCCGCAGCUGAUCUAAACUAUCCGUCGUUCGCCGUUAACGUCAAAGGAUCCGGCACGUACAAGUACACCCGCACUGUCACAAACGUGGGAGGAGCUGGGUCAUACUCGGUUAAAGUAACGUCGGAGACAACGGCAGUCAAGAUUUCGGUUGAACCGGCGGUUUUGAAUUUCAAAGAAGUGAACGAGAAGAAAUCGUAUUCGGUAACGUUUACCGUUAUCUCAUCUAAGGCGCCAAUGUCUAACAGCUUCGGGAGCAUUGAAUGGUCAGAUGGGAAACACGUGGUGGCCAGUCCCGUGGCGAUUAGCUGGACAUAGGUGGUCCAUGAAGAAAUAUGGCGACUUGAGUAAGAAGAAAGCAACAGAUAUUGUAAUUUCUCAUGAGCCUUGGAUAUUUAAUGAAAAGUAAAAAAUUGGUAAGUACUAUUUUAGCUGGCUAGUGUGUUAUGAAUAUUCUUAUUUACUAGGCUGUGGACAUUGUAGAUACUGACAAUUAUUAGAUUAGUUUAUGAGAUAUGAAAUAUACUAGGCACUUGAUUCACGUUGCAUGAAUGUGAACCACUCAACGUAGGAAACUAUCACUAAUCAAAUACAUCUAGUGUAUCAUAACAAUGUGAUUACGAUGAGUUAAAAAAUAUGAAUCUAAUAACAUAGAGAAAAAGUAGAAACGACUCUAAGAGCUAAUCAUAACCAACUAGAGGUUUCAUUUCAAGAACCAACAAUAACAAGUUCAUAAACAUGAGGUAAUAAAAGAUAUCAAUCGAAAUAAAUACCUAUCUUCAAACAAACUAUAAAAAUGUAUGGCUUUUGUUAAAAGCAAACUCACCUCUUUCCAGUACACAAAUUUGCAGAGAAAAAUCCAAAAAAAAAAAGAAAAGGAUAAAACAAAUUCACGAAUAGUAACUCAAUUUUGAUCAACGUCCAAUUAAAACCCUGAUAUGUAAUUUUAUUUUCAGAAACCCAUCGUGGCAUUAUCACUCAGAGACUAAUACAAUUGGACCAACCUGCCAGCUUCUGAUGUUGCUAUAUUUUUAUUUUUUUUCUGUUUUAUAAAAAUAAAAACUAAUGUUAAAAGAGAGAAUGUAUCCCUGUAUUGUUAACUAUUGAUAUGAUUUAGUUAGUCUGAUCUGAUGUGAAGACAUGUUAAUUCAUACCAUACAAACCAAAGUCUCAAAUUGCCACCCACAUUAUUUGGAUCCCAACCGUCAAAAGCAUUGGUUAGUUGGUGUCUUCGACGAAACUCAUUGAGAUCUUUGCAAAGUAGUUCGUUUCUUUGCUUCUGUCUUGUGAUGAGCCUUAAAGAUAUUAAUAGACUCACAACUUACAUAAACCCUAAACCUGAUUUUAAAGUUGAGGAGGAUCAUGAACUUUAAAGAUAUUAAUAGACUCAUAACUUUGCUUCUGUUUUGUGAUAAGUUACAGCAGCCGGACUAGGAUCUUCCACCAAUGAACCGAUGCAUGGCUCACACUAAUUUGCUUCUCUUAUCUAAAACAAAUUUCGGGGAAAUAAAGCGAUGAGUAGAGCUUAUUGAUGAUUUCCUCACUCCGCUCAGUCUCAGAAUCCGCUGAAAUGAUCUACACCUACAACAAUGCGAUACAUGGAUUCGCCACUCGGCUUACUCCCGGAGAAGCCGACUCACUCAUGACCCAACCUGGUGUCAUCUCGGUUCAACAAGAGCAGAAGUACGAGUUACACACCACUCGAACUCCAUUAUUCCUUGGUCUCGACGGACAAAACGCAGGACUAUUCCCCGAAACCGGCGCCUCAAGCGACAUAGUCAUAGGAGUUCUGGACACCGGUAUUUGGCCAGAGAGCAAAAGCUUCUCUGAUGAAGGAUACGGUCCAAUUCCAUCUACAUGGAAAGGCGAAUGCCAGGCUGGGACUAACUUCACCGCUUCGCUGUGUAACCGCAAACUAAUCGGAGCUAGAUUCUUCUCUGACGGUUACGAAAGAGAUUAUGGAAAAAUCAACCAAGCCGACGAGUCGAAAUCGCCGAGAGACGACUUCGGUCAUGGAACACACACGGCGUCAACCGCGGCUGGAAACGUCGUGAAAGGAGCUAAUUAUUUAGGCUUUGCUAGUGGGACGGCUAGUGGGAUGGCUCAUCGCGUCCGAGUGUCUGUUUACAAAGUUUGUUGGAAAAGUGCUUGCGUGAGCUCAGAUAUUUUAGCUGGAAUGGAUAAAGCCAUCGAAGAUAAUGUCCACAUUAUGUCAUUAUCUAUCGGUGGUAAAUCGACAAGUUAUACAGGCGAAAUUUCCAUGGGUGCAUUCUCGGCCAUGGAAAGAGGGAUCUUUGUUUCCUGCUCUGCUGGUAAUGAUGGUCCCAGCCCAUCCAGCUUAUCAAACGCAGCUCCCUGGAUUACUACUGUUGGUGCUAGUAGUAUUGACCGUGAGUUUCCCGGGGUUGUGAUCCUCGGCAACGGAAAGAACUAUACUGGAGUUUCGUUGUUCAAUGGAAAUGCUCUUCCUGCUAAAUUGUUGCCGUUUGUUUAUGGAAAUUAUUGUAGCCGCGGAACACUAAAUCCUGAGAAGGUAAAGGGGAAGAUCGUGAUGUGCAUCAAAGAUGACAGUGUAAGGACUGAGAAAGGGGAGGUGGUGAAAGCUGCCGGUGGACUCGGAAUGAUUCUGGCAAAUGCAGCAGGGAGCGGAGAAGAAGUUCUGGCGGAUGCUCAUGUGUUACCUGUGACCGCCGUGGGACAGAAAGCCGGUGACAUUAUCCGUCGCUACGUCUUGACCGAUCCGAAUCCCACCGCUUCCAUUUUGAUCAGAGGAACGGUCGUGAACGUCCGGCCAUCUCCGAUGGUUGCCGCGUUUAGCUCGCGGGGACCUAAUACGAUAACGCCAAACAUUCUCAAACCGGAUUUGAUAGCUCCUGGAGUCAAUAUCCUCGCCGCAUGGACCGGAGCUCUGGGUCCCAGUGGACUCGGAACCACUUCCGAUACUCGUCGCGUGGAAUUCAACAUCAACUCGGGAACGUCCAUGUCUUGCCCUCACGUGAGCGGUUUAGCGGCUCUCCUCAAGUCUGUGCAUCCGGAAUGGAGCCCCGCGGCAAUUCGAUCGGCUCUCAUGACCACCGCUUACAAUACCUACAAAGACGGCAAACCGAUCCUCGACGUCGCGACGGGAAAACCUUCAACACCGUUCGAGCACGGUGCAGGACACGUGUCGCCCACGGCGGCCGUCAAUCCAGGACUCAUCUACGAUCUAACGACGGAGGAUUAUAUAGAUUUCAUCUGCGCAUCGAAUUAUAAUUCGUCGCUGAUCACAAUCAUAUCGAGAGGCAAUUACGCUUGUCCAAGAAAAACGCACCCCGCAGCUGAUCUAAACUAUCCGUCGUUCGCCGUUAACGUCAAAGGAUCCGGCACGUACAAGUACACCCGCACUGUCACAAACGUGGGAGGAGCUGGGUCAUACUCGGUUAAAGUAACGUCGGAGACAACGGCAGUCAAGAUUUCGGUUGAACCGGCGGUUUUGAAUUUCAAAGAAGUGAACGAGAAGAAAUCGUAUUCGGUAACGUUUACCGUUAUCUCAUCUAAGGCGCCAAUGUCUAACAGCUUCGGGAGCAUUGAAUGGUCAGAUGGGAAACACGUGGUGGCCAGUCCCGUGGCGAUUAGCUGGACAUAGGUGGUCCAUGAAGAAAUAUGGCGACUUGAGUAAGAAGAAAGCAACAGAUAUUGUAAUUUCUCAUGAGCCUUGGAUAUUUAAUGAAAAGUAAAAAAUUGGUAAGUACUAUUUUAGCUGGCUAGUGUGUUAUGAAUAUUCUUAUUUACUAGGCUGUGGACAUUGUAGAUACUGACAAUUAUUAGAUUAGUUUAUGAGAUAUGAAAUAUACUAGGCACUUGAUUCACGUUGCAUGAAUGUGAACCACUCAACGUAGGAAACUAUCACUAAUCAAAUACAUCUAGUGUAUCAUAACAAUGUGAUUACGAUGAGUUAAAAAAUAUGAAUCUAAUAACAUAGAGAAAAAGUAGAAACGACUCUAAGAGCUAAUCAUAACCAACUAGAGGUUUCAUUUCAAGAACCAACAAUAACAAGUUCAUAAACAUGAGGUAAUAAAAGAUAUCAAUCGAAAUAAAUACCUAUCUUCAAACAAACUAUAAAAAUGUAUGGCUUUUGUUAAAAGCAAACUCACCUCUUUCCAGUACACAAAUUUGCAGAGAAAAAUCCAAAAAAAAAAAGAAAAGGAUAAAACAAAUUCACGAAUAGUAACUCAAUUUUGAUCAACGUCCAAUUAAAACCCUGAUAUGUAAUUUUAUUUUCAGAAACCCAUCGUGGCAUUAUCACUCAGAGACUAAUACAAUUGGACCAACCUGCCAGCUUCUGAUGUUGCUAUAUUUUUAUUUUUUUUCUGUUUUAUAAAAAUAAAAACUAAUGUUAAAAGAGAGAAUGUAUCCCUGUAUUGUUAACUAUUGAUAUGAUUUAGUUAGUCUGAUCUGAUGUGAAGACAUGUUAAUUCAUACCAUACAAACCAAAGUCUCAAAUUGCCACCCACAUUAUUUGGAUCCCAACCGUCAAAAGCAUUGGUUAGUUGGUGUCUUCGACGAAACUCAUUGAGAUCUUUGCAAAGUAGUUCGUUUCUUUGCUUCUGUCUUGUGAUGAGCCUUAAAGAUAUUAAUAGACUCACAACUUACAUAAACCCUAAACCUGAUUUUAAAGUUGAGGAGGAUCAUGAACUUUAAAGAUAUUAAUAGACUCAUAACUUUGCUUCUGUUUUGUGAUAAGUUACAGCAGCCGGACUAGGAUCUUCCACCAAUGAACCGAUGCAUGGCUCACACUAAUUUGCUUCUCUUAUCUAAAACAAAUUUCGGGGAAAUAAAGCGAUGAGUAGAGCUUAUUGAUGAUUUUCCCUUUAGAAUCCUCUCACAUUUCAAAUAUAAUUUCAAAUUGUUAUAAGGUAAAACUUUUCUGGCUAGAUUCCAACUAGUAGUUUCGUUCAAAGGGAGAAAAUGAGAUCAAAUUAAAUCGUCUAAUAUUCACUUUGUUUUAAUGGUUUUUAUCCAACCUAUAAACCAUUUUUAUAGUCUCAAACAAGUCACAGUAAACAUCAAAAAGAACACAGGUAAACUUAUGUUCACAGUCACCUAUAAACUAUCUUUAUAGUCUCAAACAAGUCACAGCCAAUAUAUCCAGUAUAGUAAUCAGUGUGAUAUAUUAUUUGAUGUUGAACAUAGGUAAACUUCUCUGAACAAAAGUCUUUAUAUUUUGUCUUUGAACAGAAGUCUUCUAACAUUAAAAUUUACAAAAAGAACAAAAAUAAAUUUAGAGACAAAUCAAAACGGAAAGCAAAACUGAUCACUUUCAAAACAGAAUAGUGGACAGAAGAGUCUAAGAGCACCUCCAGUGCAUUACAUAACAUAAGUACACCACCAAAUAAUCUUCUAGUUAGAGAUAUGAAUUAAAAGGCUAUAUUCACUUAGUCUUAGAUUUUUAUCAAAACAUAUAAACCAUUUUUAUAGAGACUCAACAAGUUGUCAGCAUCAUAGUUAAAAUAUGUUAAUACUAAAUAGAAACAGAGAAUCUUAAAAUAAUAAAACAAUAAUAAUCUCGAGCUAAUACUGAAAUAUAAUAGUCAGUGUAAUUGAAUAUAUAUUAUUUCAUGUUGAACAUAGGUCAACUUAUGUGAACAAAAGUCUUUUAGGUUUUGUCCUCUUUGAAGAUAAGUCUAUAAACCUUAAAAAUUUACGGAAAAAAAAAACAAAAAAAAAAAUCAGAGAGAAAUCAAAAUGUGUGUGUGGAAAACCAACAUAACAUACAAACAAAAUAUACUUUAAAGGAAAUUGGAUUUUAUACAACUACACCAAGUAUAAUCUUCUAGAGUUAUAUAUUAAGGUUAUAUUCACUUAGUGUUAAUGUUUUUUGAACAUCAUAAAGGUCUUCUGAAUCCCUCAUGGCAUGAUGAUUUUAUCAAAACUAUAACCGAUCUUUAUCAUCUCAAACGAGUCACAGUAAAUAUCAGAAUUAAAGAGGUAAUACUAAACAAAAACAUAGAAUCUCAAGAAAAUAAACCAAUAAUUGUCUCGAGAUAAUACCAUAGUAUAGUAAAAAAAAUUGAUAAUCCGGAGUAUCCAAAUCCGAAAGACUAACUGAUUUUUUGGGGUCGAUCCACCGGCCACAGACAAGCUCGUUUACUCUAUAUGAGAGUUACAUAUCCAAGCCGCCUAAAUAUAUGCAGAUGAAUAAAUUUAAAUGGUAGGUUUUGGACUCGGGAUGCUCAGCACGUUUUCGAACCUGUCGUAUCACUCGAUAAUAUAUGUAUGGUUAAUUAUAGUAAUUAGUGUAAGUGGAUAUAUUAUUAUUUCAUGUUGAACAUAGUUAAUAUCAUGUGAACAAAAGUCUUUAUUUUUUGUCUUGAUGAACAAAGUCUACGAAGAUUAAAAUUUACCUAAAAACAAAAGUAAAUUUUAGAGAAGUCGAAAAGAAAAACGAAAGAGAUCACUUUAAAAGCAGAAUAGUGAACAAGAGUGUUAUAGUAAUAUCUCCUCACUCUCUUUCUCGACUCUAUAUAAACUCUCUCGCAUCUUCACAUUUUCCACACAACUUCACAAAACAUGUCUUCUUCGUUUGUCUCAUCCACUGCUUCUUUCUUCUUUAUCGUUCUUCUUUAUCACGGUUCCUUCCACGUCUCCGAUGGAGCUCAACAAGCUACAUUCAUUGUUCACAUGGCGAAAUAUCAGAUGCCCUCAAGCUUCGACCACCACUCUCUCUCUGGUACGAGUCCUCUCUCAAAUCCGUAUCAGAAUCUGCUGAAAUGCUCUACACUUACAACAAUGUAAUUCACGGAUUACUUCCGAAGAAGCUGACUCACUCAUGACCACCGCUUACAAUACCUACAAAGACGGACAACCGAUCAUUGACAUCGGGACGGUAAAACCUUCAACGCCGAUUGGGCACGGUGCAGGACACGUGUCACCGACGACGGCCAUCAGUCCAGGACUCAUCUACGAUCUAACGACUAAGUAUUAUAUAGAUUUCCUCUGCGCAUUGAAUUAUAAUUCGUCGCAGAUAAUAAAAGUAUCGAGAGGCAAUUACACUUGCGAUACAAGGAAAACUUACUCCGUUGCUUAUCUAAACUAUCCAUCGUUUGCCGUUAACGUCGACGGGUCCGACACGUACAAGUACACACGCACGGUCACAGCAGUUAAGAUUUCGGUUGAACCGCCGGAUUUGAUUUUCAAAGAAGUAAACGAGAAGAAAUCGUAUUCGGUAACGUUUACUGUUGACCCGUCGAAGCCGUCAGGGUCUAACAGCUUUGGCAGCAUCGAGUGGUCGGAUGGGAAACACGUGGUAGCCAGUCCAGUGGCAAUUAGCUGGACAUAGUAGUCAAUUACGACUAACUUGAGAAAGAAGAAAGUUACAGAUAUAAAAAAAAAAAAAGAAAGUUACAGAUAUUUAUAUGCCGUUUUCCAUAAGAACUCUGUUUAGCGAAAACGGCAUGAAGUCGGUUUUCUAGGUAAUAUAACAAGAGACUUGAAUAUUUAAUGAAAAGUAAAAAAAUGGUAACGACUAGUUUAGCUGGCUAGUGUGUUAUGACUUUUUUUAUUUACUAGGCUAUCGACAUUGUAAGAUACUGAAAAAUAAAAUGAACAAUAUCAAAUAAAAUAAUAAAGCAAAGAAAUAUCAUUAAAACGAAUCAGCUUAAUAUAUCUUAUUAAAUAAAGUUUACAUAUUCCACGUCACUCUGGAGAGGGGGAGUUUUCUUGCCACGUGUCGCCUCACCAAACAAACGAUUUCUGUGUAAUCCGGUCUUAUUCGAACUGGGCUUUUAUUAAAUUUUAUUAUUAAGCUCAAUAUUAUGUCAAGCUCACGUAUCAUUAGCUAUCUUCUUCCUUUCAAGCUUGCGACUUCCCCGAUGCAAUUUCCAGAAACUUAAAUCGAUGUUCCUAUCUCCGUAUCGUCUCAGCCUUCCAUUAAUCCGUUCUUAACUCAGAGUUUUUGCGUGUUUGAUCCACCCCUCUCACUGCAAAGUUUUGUUUUUGUUAGGGAAAAGGGAUGAAGUCAGAGCGUGCUGCCAAAUUGAUGCUAGAGGCGCUGCUUAUGCUGUUCCUGGCUCUCGCAAGACGGUGACUUGAGGUUCGGCUCCUUUGAAAUCUGUGUGUUCUUUGGUCGUUUAUAUUUUUAGUGCGUUAAGGUGUUAGUUUCUGCUUCUUGAGUUAGUUUUAAGCAAAGUGUUGAGUAUGGUACAACAAUCAAGCAUAAAAAAUCGUCGUUUUUCAGUAAAAUGAAAGUUAGAUUCUUUGAUGUGUGAAUCUGUGGCUAUGAUGUAUUAAAACAUAUUGGUUUGCAGGGAGAUAAUGUUACAAUGAAAUUAAGAUCGUAUGGAUAGUUGGAACCUCAUUUGCAGCUGAAGAAUAAGCAUGUCGGUUCAAGUUUCUUACACACAGCUCCUCAUAGAUGGAAACUUCGUCGACUCUGCUUCUGGUGAGUAAUAUUUUCAUUCAUAAACAUCGGAAUAACAAAGGAAAAUUUUGAAUUUUGAGAUUCAAGUUCCAUGAGCACUAAUGUUUGGUUUUGGAUUGGGAGUUUAAGUAAGACGUUCCCGACUCUUGAUCGACGCACAUGGAAAGUCAUUGUGAACGUAGCUGAAGGCGACACUGAAGAUAUCAACCAGGCGGUGAAAGCUGCAAGGAAGGCCAUUGAUGCGGACCUUGGCCAAAGAUGACCGUUGGAAUUCAUGGACCAUAGUCACCUACAAUGUGGUCACUGAAGCGUUCGGGAGAGAAGGAGCUUGAAAAAAUGGAAUAUUUAUUAAGGCUAAUGCAAUCAGAGAGAAUAAAACAGAGAUGCGUUCACCACUGUCAUUUUAUAAGGAUUUAUUAAAUAUAACUGAUUUUGAAGGGUACUUCUCAAAACUUUAUACUAAUCUCAGAUUAGUCUAUAAGUGAUUUAUAAACUGUACAAAUGAUUUAUUAACUUUUAUAAAAUAUUUAUAGAUCUUUAUAAAUUGUUAUGGACUCUUAUAAAAACUUUAUAGCUUCAAAUAAUGCAUCGAUAAGGUAGCCUUUAUGUUCUUAACAACAAAAAAUACAUUAUUUGUCUUCUACCAUGAUGCAAUCAUAUCUCACUUUUUUUAAAAGGGCAACCGCCUCGACACAAAUAGCAACUACAAUAUUAAAUUUUCAAAUUAAUCAAAAUGGCUAGUUAUAAAUGUCCAUAAAUAAAUUACAACAAUAGCGGUUUCAAAUCAGCAAUGGAACUAUUAUGCUCUCUUAUUUGCGAUCAUAUUUUCUAUUUCUACUGCAUUGAUCAAUGGCUUCGUACCGAUAAAAGUUGUUCCAUAUAUAAGAAAAGUCAUCUAUAUUUCAGAAUUAUUACAAUUUAUAAAGGAGUUUCUUAUGUUCCAAUUUUUAGUUUUAUUUACAUACUGUUUUUUUAAUUUUCGUUUUAAUUUUCAAACAAAAUAUUUUCUCAUUUCCUAAUAUGUUCCAUUGUCAGAAUAGGUUUCUUAUCAAAAAUCAAAUAAGAAGAAUAUAUAUAAAAAAAAAUUCAUUAUAUACGUUUAAAUAAAACAUCAAAUUUACUUUAUGUUUAAAUUUUAAUUAAAUUAACUAUGUAACGACUAUCAAUUUUUUACUCUACUUUUAUUGAAUCGAUUAGUCACAACCACUUAUGCUAUUAUACUUUGAAAUAAGCAAUUUCAAAACAAAUUAAUACAUUACGGUCGUUAACCACUGGACCAGAAAAUAUAUAAUUUUCUUUCAACAAAUUUCUGUUUUCAUAUUUUUGAACAUAUUUUCUUUACUAAAACCAUAAAAUGAAUUGUAAAUUCAUGUAAAAAUAAAACACACGAACCCCGGCGCUUACCACUAGUAUAUAUAUAUAUACACUUAAAAAGUCAUUUUUUUAAUUUGUGUGGGUCUAAGCCAAAGUUGGAAUAUUUUUGCUGUGGUUUUGGAUUCACUAGUUGCCUAGUUGCCAACGUUUUUAGUGGCAGAAAACUCAGGCUUUUAUAAAUUUAGUUGAAUUAUUCUGAUUUUGUCCAGAAAAUUUAACUAGAAAAACAAAUUUUGAAGAAAACUGUUUAAUAAUUUUGAUCUGAGAUUUGGGCUACAUAUAUAUUAUGUGCAUAUGUUCUUUUAUUUUUGAAACUUAUGCGCAUGUGUUCUUUAAAAGGUGAAAUCGAUAGCUCUCUUUCUUUAUCUACUUGAGAGUAUAAUUCUUAAUACUAACUAGAAGAGGGUAAAAAUAGUGAUAUGUGUGUUUUUGGGGUAUGCAAUGCAUUUAACUUUGGCUAUCGAGUCCAAAUAAAUAUAUAUAUAUAUAUAUACUAUCUAUUUGGGAAGUCAACAAAAAAUAAUUAACAAAAAUUGUCGUAGAAAUAAAAAAAUUAAGGGGAAUUUGUCAAAUAUAACUCAAAACUUGAUUUUAACCCCCAAAAUAUCACAAACUUGAAUCAAAUGCAAAAGUAACCCAAAAAGUUUGUGAAAUUACAACCAGCCCCCUAUGGUCAAAAAAAAAACCAUAAUUCACUUUUACGAAUAUAAUCUCGUAAAGUCUUCUGAGAUUUUGUAAGUCCUCUAUGGUUCUGUAAGUUUUCUGGAAGUCUUUUCAUAUAGUAGACCUUAAAAAUAAGGGAGAAUUGCCAAGUGUGACUCAAAACUUGGAGUCAAACCCAAAACAAUACCCCAACUUGGGUCAAACGCAAAAGUAACCUAAAAGGCUAUUGAAAUUACAACUAUCCCCUUGUGACCAAACAAAAAAACGGAAUUUUUUUUACGUUUCUACCCCUCGCAAGUCGUCUGUUUAGACGACUUGAAAAUAAGUCGUCCAGACGACUUAACUGAAAGUCGUCUGGACAGUUAGUCUUAAACAUAAUUUAAAAAUUUUGUAAAAAAUAUUUUGAUAAGUGAAAAAUGGGAAUUAUGUAAUUAACAUAUGUCUUAGGAGGUAUAAAUUAAGAUAUAACAAAUUUCAAUUGUUUUCAGCAUAGAUGAGUGAAAGUAGUGAGUCAUGAUAUUCUUUAGUUUAUGUUUCAUCAACAUAUGUUGUAGUAUUGUAUGUGUUCUUAGGGUUAGAUUUUGGAAAGCAUUAAAACCGUUUUUGAAAAUUUUUAAAAUUACUUAUCCGUGUUCAUUUCUGUGUAUAGUAAACACUAUUUAAGUAUAAUUUGAUUUUAUAACGUGGUUAGUUAGUUAAUCUAGUCAUUUUAGUUUAGGGGUUCAUUUUAGGGUCUAGGACGACUUAAUAUUUUGUCGUCUGAAAACAGACGACUAAAUAUUAAGUCGUCUGUUGUACAUUAUCAGCCAGAAUAAGUCGUCUAAACCGGACCAAACCUUAAAGUUUACCAAUGUACUUUUAAAGCUAACCGGAUUAUUUACCCAAUAUAUAAGGUGAUUUUUUUUUUUUUUGUUUCAUUUUUCGCGAAAUUCAGAAACCCUAACAGUUCUCUCUCAAAGGCGAUUUCGAAUUCCCACGAUUUCCGAACAAACCAUCGUUCUCAACGUCGGCUAUCUAUCUCACUUCAUUCUCACCGUUGUCGCCGCAGCUUCUUCUAACCCUAGCGCCGCCGAUUCCUCUAAACCCUAGCGCCGCCGAUUCCUCUAAACCCUAGCGCCGCCGCUUCCACUAUUUCCGAACAAACCGUCGCCCUCGCCACCGUGGUCACCAACGUUCUCACCGCCGCUUCCUCUAAACACUAGCGCCGCCGCUUCUUCUAAACCCUAGCGCCGCCGCUUCUUCUCUGUAAACCUUAGCGCCGUUUCUCUGUAAACCCUAACGCCGCUAAGUCAUCAAUCUCGAGGAAAAGAUGAACAUAAAACGUUGUCUCUAUCAAUUUACUCAUUCUCACCGUUUCACGUUUAUUUUUUCAGAUCUAUAACCGCAAUGACGAGUACUCCAACUCCUUCUGCGACUGGAAGACUUGUAAGUAAUUUAAGUCGUCCGGCUUUGUCUUCCAACUGGACGACUUAGUAGAUGACUUAAAUAUAAGUCGUCCAUUUGGAAGACUUUCCAGACGACUUAAAUUUAAGUCGUCUACUAAGUCGUCUGGACUUAUAUUGUUGUCUUUGAUUAUUUUGCAGACAAAAAGGAUGGAUAUUCCAGAACUCCCCCGUAGGUUAUACACAUCAGGGGAAGAGCCAGAAGCCCACAAUAGCAUUUCGUAUCAUACGGAUAACAGCAAGUUGCAUACUGCUCUUAGGAAAGCUCUUACUGAUGACGAAUUUGAAGAGCUCAAGGAGUCGAGUUUGGGAGUUUUCAUCAAGUUCAAGGAGCAGGGAUUUGGUUGGGCUUCAAGGCUGGUUCACUACAUGCUCAGUUUCAAGCUGGACAUUAAGAAGAAGUAUGAGAUGUGGUCUCUCGUUGGUCCAGAACCUUUGAGGUUUUCACUGUUAGAGUUUGAAAACCUCACUGGUCUAAACUGCGAGUACAUCGAGGACCUUGAGACACCAAAAUGUGACGUUACCCCAGAGAUGGUUUCUUUCUGGGGGAUGCUGGGAGUUCAUCUGGAAGCUGGGCCAACUACUGAUCAGAUAAUAGCAGCACUGAAGAGAUGCGGGGAUUGGUCCAGGGAAGAUCGCAAGCGGCUCGCGUACCUCUCCAUCUUCACUGGAUUCAUUGAAGGGAGAAAGUUUUCAACCGCUACACGAUCUACUCUGGCAAGGCUAGUGAUGGAUUUAGAACGGUUUGAGAAUUAUCCAUGGGGGAGAGUCGCGUUUAAGGUGCUGAUGGACUCUUUGUGGAACAAAGAAAUUGCUGGCUGUUACACCGUGGAUGGGUUUAUACAAGUUCUUCAAGUCUGGACGUACACAGCUAUGCCGGAAUUGGGUGCUAGUAUUGGUGGUCCCAGAGCAGACAGUCCGUCUCCACCGAUACUGGCUUACGAGGGCAGCAGAGGCCGCAGAUCAAUGAAAGCUGCUAUCUUGAGUCAGGUAUUUACUUCAAUCCAAAAGACUGCGCAGACGACUUAUUAUAAGUCGUCUGGAAGGUCGUCCAGCUUGACGACUUAUUAGACGACUUAUAAUAAGUCGUCUGGAAAGUCUUCCCAGCUGGACGACUUAUCGGACGACUUAAUUAAGUCGUCUGGAAAGUCUUCCAUCUGGACGACUUAUUAGACGACUUAUAAUAAGUCGUCUGGAAAGUCUUCCCAGCUGGACGACUUAUCGGACGACUUAAUUAAGUCGUCUGGAAAGUCUUCCAUCUGGACGACUUAUUAGACGACUUAUUAUAAGUCGUCUGGAAGGUCUUCCAUCUGGACGACUUAUUAGACGACUUAUAAUAAGGCGUCUGGAAAGUCUUCCCAGCUGGACGACUUAUCGGACGACUUAAUUAAGUCGUCUGGAAAGUCUUCCAUCUGGACGACUUAUUAGACGACUUAUUAUAAGUCGUCUGGAAGGUCUUCCAGCUGGACGACUUAGUAGACGACUUAUAAUUAAGUCGUCUAUUUAGUAUUUUUUUUCAAAUAUCUAACUCGAUUCUUCUAUUUACUGCAGACCCGCGUGAUCAACUUUGUUGAGAAGGACAUUAGUGAAAUGUGGCCAAAAUGGGACUCUGAGGUUGAGGACCUGCCCGCGGAGAACAUCAUUAAAGUCAUGUAUGAGCGGAGACCGUGGAAGUGGACCAUGGAUUGCUGGGAAGUCACUGGUACUAAGGUCAAUACAAAACCUAAGGUUGUGACUCCAUCGAAGAAGGCCAAAGAGAUGGUUGUGGUGUAGGAGGAGGAGGAGGAGGAGGAAGACAAUCCAAGACCUCGGAAGAAAGCUCGUAAAGAGGCUCCUAAAGAGGCUAGUGAAGAGGCUAGAGAAGAGGCUAGAGGGGUGACCAGAGAGGAGUUGGAAAUUAUGUUCAAGGGCGUAGCUGACUGCAUGAAAAAAGGGUUUAAUAAGUGCAUGAGGGAGUUUAGGAAGUUGUCCGAUAGAUUGGAAGCUGUGGAGAAGAAGGUUGGUGUCACCAAUCAGGCUACCCCUCCACCUCUAACCAAUCAGGCUACCCCUCAAGAUAAACAGCCUACCCCUCUUGCCAAAGAAACCGGGGGUAGAAACAAACAGGCUACCCCUCAUGCCAAUGAAACCGUGGUUAGUAACCAGCCUCCUCCUCAUCAAACCAAACAGCAGCCUCCUCCUCCUCAAAAGAAACAGCAGCAGCCUCCUCCUCCUCAAAAGAAACAGCCUCCUCCUCAAAAGAAACAGCCUCCUCAAAUCAAAGAGGUUAGUAUCAAAUCCAGGGUUAACUAGUUGUCCAGACGACUGUAAAAGUUGUCUGGACGACUAGUUGACCCUGGACGACUUAAACGUAAGUUGUCUGGACGACUAGUUGACCACGGAAGACUUAAUUUUAAGUCGUCCAGGGUCAACUAGUCGUCCAGACAACUUUUAUUUAAGUCGUCCAGGGUUAACUUGUGUGCAACUUUUAUUGCAGAGAUGGUUGCCGGAGGAUACAGCAACCGAGGCGAACUCGGUAAAUAAGAUCUUGCCGGAGGAUAAAGCAGAUGGUGUCACCUCCAAAGAGAUUGUUGCUGUCACUUCCACCGAUCACCAACCGAGCCUCGCUUCCACCGAUCAACAACCGAGCCUCGCUUCCACCGAGCCAAGCGAUCCAGUUUCAGAACCGAGCCUGGUUGUAUUGGACAAGCGUGCAAAGAGUAAACGAGCGAAGAAACCUGCUCCCACUGUGAGAUCUCCUUAUACGGCAGAGAAAAAAAAAGAUAAAGUGGCAGCCUAUAAUCCAUUUCCGCCAGUAAACAAAGAUAAGUUGAAGGAACUCGCUGAUUGGUUGAAAACUGAUCCGUAAGUGAUUGCUUUACCCAUAAUAGCUUGAUUUAGUCGUCCAAAACUGAUUGCUUUUUUGUUUGCAGUCAUUAUUUAACUAAGACCGAGGACAAACCACGUACAUCACCAACAAGGUGGUACCACUUCCUCCGGACAGCCAGAGGAUGGCUGGAAGACUGCGUAAGUCUUCUGCACACGAUUUAAGUCGUCUACAAAGUCGUCCAAGUAGACUACUUUCCAGACGACUUAAAGAUAAAUCGUCUGGAAAGUCGUCUACUUGGACGACCACGUAGACGACUUAAAUAUAAGUCGUCUUCGUCUGGUAACUUCUAACUUGUUAUAUUUAAUAUGCAGCAUAUAGAUGCUUGGAUUAAUGUGCUAAGGCAGAGGUAUCAGGAGAACCCACAAGCUUUCAGGAGCGAGCGAAUGUGCUUCCUGGAUCACAACUUUUCUCAGUCUUGGAGAGAGCAGUAUCAGCUCUUCAAAACAUCGGAACCUGAUCACAAAGGUUUAGGAAGAGUUCUACCUGGUGGGGCGUCGUAUUUUUAUGACGGAUCAAUACCUUCAUUUUGCCAAUCAAACAAGAAGUGGGGGGAGGACAUUGAUGAUAUCUAUGCGCCAGUGAACUUGGACGACAAGCAUUGGGUUGCUAUUUGGAUAUCGAUCCCUAAGAGGCACAUAGUCGUCUGGGACAGCAUACCUUCAUCUAGUGUACCAGACGCAUGGGAUGCGAUAAUGGAGCCUUUUCUCCAGAUGGUCCCUUAUCUGCUUGUUGAGUGCGCAGCCACCGACGAAAUGCGGGUCAAAUACGGGUUGGAGCCAUACACAUAUGAGAGACCUCUGAAAGGUGUACCCACGGCCAACAAUGGUGAUUGUGGCGUGUACACUGUAAAGUACAUUGAAUGUCAUGCGCUCGGGGGCUCCUUUGACCCUAAAGACUUUGCUAGGUGCAACGCGAAGAAAAUGAGGGAUAAUAUGGCGGUGGAUAUAUGGAAGGAGCUUGUUGAUCAGCAUCUGAAAGAAAAUGUGGAUGGUGAUAAGUUCGUGGGCAUGUAUGAUUAGAUUUGUAUUUGAACAUGAUUUUUUAACAUGAGUUUUGUAUUUGAACAUGAUUUUUUAACAUGAUUUUUGUAUUUGAACAUGAUUUUUUAACAUGAUUUUUGUAUUUGAACAUGAUUUUUUAACAUGAUUUUUGUAUUUGAACAUGAUAUAAGUUGUCUGGAAGAAAUAAGUCGUCUGGAAGGUUUUCCAACUGGACGACUUACAAAUAAGUCGUCUAGAAGGUUUGGACGACUUAUUAUAAGUCGUCUGGAAGGUUUUCCAACUGGACGACUUACAAAUAAGUCGUCUAGAAGGUUUGGACGACUUGAAGGGAUAGUAGAAGGUCGUCUAAAAAUAAAAUACACUUGAAGGGAUAGUAGAAGGUCGUCUAAAAAUAAAAUACACUGGACGACUUAGUAGAAGGUCGUCUAAAAAUAAAAUACACUUGAAGGGAUAGUAGAAGGUCGUCUAAAAAUAAAAUACACUGGACGACUUAGUAGAAGGUCGUCUAAAAAUAAAAUACACUGGACGACUAAAAAUUUAGUCGUCUGGACGGGUAAUCAAGACUGGACGACUUAAAUUUAGGUCGUCUGGACAACUAGUCAACUGGUUGUGUACAUUGUGGUUUCGUAUGGCCAGUUUCCUUGCAGUUUGAGCAUCUCCGUGCCCUGUGUUUCUUCCUGGGUUUGUGUCCUCUCAUCCUAGAUAGCUCCAACCAAGAUUGCCAUCUUGAUUUCUUCGGUCUCCCCCGACCACGCUUUAGUUCUGGAGGAAAGCAUUCUCGUUCCUCAAUAUGUUGUGACACGAUAGGAUAUAUAUUCUCUGAGUAUCCUGCAUACAGAUAAUUCUUUGAGUACAGUGGACAUACAAGUGUGGAGAUAUGCAAACCAGCAUGUAUUCCAGCAGCUAUAGCAUGAGAGCAAGGUAUUUUCUCCACUCCAUAGACACCACAAUCACACUUUGCAUGUUCCAAAUCAACCACACAGUCCAUUUUGCCACCUUUGACAAAGAAAUGCCAUCCAUCAAUUGGUUCAACCGUCAUCGUACCCGCUAUCUCUUCUCGAACAGCAAGCAAGUAUUCAACACCCCCGCUAUGUUCAGUUGUGAGACUCAAAGCAUCUUGUCUCCUUUUCCAAUACCAUUUUCCUAACUUCUGCCUUAUGAACUCCAGCAGGAACGUAAUCGGAAAUCCUCUUGCUCGCUUCAGUGCGGAAUUAAUAGAUUCAGCAAUGUUGCUUGUUUUUAUGUUGAACCUGUUCCCCUUACAAUAAACCCUUGACCAUAGCCUGACGUCGGCUUUCUCCAAAUACGUUGCAAGUUCCGGGUUUGCACUCCGUAUCUCAGCCAUGUACCGGUCAAAAUCGUAAACCGUGUGAGCAUAAGCAGCCCCUUUCACCAAGUACAUGAGAUGUUUCCCUUUAAACUUUUUGACAAUGUUAUCUUGAAGGUGAUAAUAACAUAUUCCUCGGGUUGCCCAAGGAAACACCUUAUCACACGCACUUUUAAUGGCCUUGUGCCGGUCGGAGACUAUCACCAGAGGCUUGUCAUGAGAUAUACAACUAGCCAAUUUUGUGAAAAACCAUUCCCAAGAAGGUAUAUCUUCCUCAUCCACGAUCCCAAAAGCCAAUGGGAAUAUCUGAAAAUUGCCAUCUUGUGCGGCUGCAACUAACAUAGUUCCUCCAUACUUUCCACUUAGGUGAGUUCCAUCCACCACAAUGACCCUUCUCUGAUACUUAAAACCUUUGAUAGAAGCUCCAAAAGAGAGAAAUAGAUACUUAAAUCUUUUCAUAGAAUCAAGUUCUAUCGCCGUGAUAGAAUCAGGAUUUGCAAUGGAGAUUUGCUCGAGAUAUGAUGCCAGACGCGAAUACCCUUCUUCUGCUGAUCCUCUCACCAAUCUUUGUGCAUAUAACAGUGCUCUGUAUGAAGUGGUGUAAUCAAGCGCCAUGCCAAACAUGUUCCUCAUUGCAUCAGUGAUAUGCUGCGGAGUUAUCCCAUCAAUGAUUCCAACACGAUCAAUGAAAAGACUACCUACAUACUUCGGAGUACAGUGUCUCCGCUGAGCGAUUCGGUCUCCCGCUGAGCAUAAAUGUUUUUCCACAUACUUUGUUACCCAAAACGUGUUUGUCCCAUGUUUGACACUCGCUCUGACCUUCCAUCCACAAUAGCUAACCGGACAUGUUGCCACAACGAGAGUUUUCGUUGAUUUGUAUAAUCUGAAAGAAAACUUACCCCUCACUGCUGCCAACCGCAGCUCUGAAAGCAGUGCACCCUUGCUAACAAAACUCUGGUUGACAUAGAUACUGGUACCAUUCGAUUUUCCUCCUUCAAUAGCAUUUGUCUUAGCAUAUGUCUUUUGGAUUUCUUCAAAACAAAUAUUAUCAUCAUCUUCCUCGUCCUCAUCUGGAACCUUUCCAUAAAGACUGUAAUCCCCACCAUUCUGAUCCGUUUCACCAACAAUAGAAUUAUCAGCAUCCUCCUCCCCAUUUUCCUCCUCCCCAUCUUGAUUUUCAUCUUCAACAAACUCAUUAUCACCAACAUCUUCAAAACAUUCAUCAGCUUCAUCAUCAUCACCAACAUCUUCUUCCCAUUCACCAGCUUCAUCAUCAUCACCAACAUCUUCUUCCCAUUCACCAGCUUCAUCAUUAUCACCAACAUCUUUUUCCCAUUCACCAGCUUCAUCAAUAUCCCUUUUCUCUGAAACCGUUUCGACCUUGCUGCGGCUUGAUACACAAAGACAUACUCUAUGGGUUUUGAGUAUCUCCAGCAAGUUUCGAACUUGUCUAUCACUUGUAACAUGAAUGGGAAGACUGCCUGGAGCCAUCAUCAUUUCUGCUGGUAAUGAGUAGCUAAUCUCCACACUCACUGUUCUCAUGUCCAGGUUAUAAUCUUCUUGAGCCAUUGCAACAAGUUCAGCAUGUGUUGAAUCUUCAUUCAAUAAAAACAAUCUUGCUCCUUUGAGAUCAUCAACCACAAAAUCCCAACGGAAAUCUCUCAACAACCAUUCUCCAUACACUGCAUGUAACUGAAAAAUCAUCUGCAAAUAUUCAAAAUAAAACACAUUAGUAAACAUAGAGAAAAUGAAGAAGUUCAAUAAACAUUGCCGCAGACGACUUAGCAUUAAGUCGUCCAGAAGACUUAAAGGUAAGUCGUCUAAAGAGGUCACUUUUGCAAUUGAAAAUUAAAAGGGACGACUUAAUUCUAAGUCGUCCGGCUUUGUUUGUUAAAAAAAAAACUUCAGACGACUUAUAUAUAAGUCGUCUACGAGAAACGGGCUAGUUUUGCAUUUGACCGAAUCGUGUCAGAUCUUUGACUAUUUCUGGACGACUUAUAAUUCAGUCGUCUCUGGGAAAGUUAAAAUUUCAAUAUUUUAUGAAAACUUGACGACUUACGUGUAAGUCGUCCUAGGUUAGUUUUGUAAUUGAAAAAUAAAACUUGAAAUUUAACUUUCUCCAGACGACUUAGAUGAAAGUCGUCCAGCUAAACGACUUAAUUUAAGGUCGUCCGGGAUAAGCAAGGUUUGACCAGAAAAUUGGGAAAAAUUCUGGACGACUUCGCUUUCCCCGGACGACUUUAAAUUAAGUCUUCUGGAGGGACGACUUUAUAUUAAGUCGUCUGGUUAAAGUUAAAUUAUGAAGUUUUAUUUUUCAAUUACAAAACUAACCUAGGACGACUUACACGUAAGUCGUCAAGUUUUCAUAAAAUAUUGAAAUUUUAACUUUCCCAGAGACGACUGAAUUAUAAGUCGUCCAGAAAUAGUCAAAGAUCUGACACGAUUCGGUCAAAUGCAAAACUAGCCCGUUUCUCGUAGACGACGUAUAUAUAAGUCGUCUGGAGUGUUUUUUUUUAACAAACAAAGCUGGACGACUUAAUUUAAGUCGUCCGUUUGACCAGAAGACUCAUCAGUAAGUCUUCUACAUACAGAUGACUUACUAGUAAGUCUUCUACGCGAACAGAUCUUGAAAAAAAAUUCAAAUUCGUACCUUAAACUAGGUGAGAUGACUUUGUUUGCACACAAGGUCUUCUCCAACCACCCAGAACCUCAAACGAAAGCAACCGUAAGUCAAAACGAAAGAAAUAUGGCUCUGUCAACCAUAGCCCAUAUUUUGAAUCAAAAGCUUGAGUUUUUUGGAUGAAUAUAGAGAGAAAGUGAAAGAAAUGUUGUUUUUAGUUCAUAACAAUUGAAACAGAGAGAGUGUAAAGAGAUUUACGUGCAUUAAAGGGCAAUAAAAGCUCCAAACAGUUCGUACAAGGUUGUUGCCACUAUUCAUUGCAGUGGCAAUAUUGUAAAUACUUGAAGAAGAUGAGGUUGAGACAGUAAAGAAGCCAUUUUUGAAAAAAAAAAAAAAAAAUGUUAAUGGCAUUUUCGUAGAUAAAAUGCAGGUGUGGGGUUAAAAUCUCAAAAAAAAAAGGAGUCAAAAGAAAAGGUUAGUUUUCUGUUUGACUCCAAGUUUUGAGUCACUUUUGCAAAAAGCCCUAAAAAUAAUUUAUAAAUUUUGUAAAAACUAUUUUGUUAGAGAAAAAAUUGAAAUCAUGUAACUAUAAACAUUUGUAAGUGAUAUAAACUAAAAUAUAAUAAAAUUGAAUUGUUUUUAAUAUAGAUGAGUGAAAAUAGUGAGUCAUGAUAUUCUUUGGUUUAAGGUUUGACAACAUAUGUUGUAGUAUUGUAUGUAUUCUUAGAGUUAGAUUUUGGAAACUUAAUAUUUUUUGGAAAAAUUAAAUUUUGACAUAUACAUAUUUAGUUUUUAUAUAUUAAAUAUUUUUUAAAUUUAAUGAAAUGUUUGUUUCUAUUUAAUUAGUUAUUUGAGUUUAAGAUUUAUAUUUAGUGUCUAGACGACUUCCACAAAGUCUUCUCUGAAAAUCUUAUAACUCCCGCUAAAAAUAUUUUACUUUCCCGCUAAAAAUAUUUUAGUUUCUAGAAGACUUAAUUGAAAUUCUUCUAGGAAGUUUUCUAUUAGAAGACUUAAAUCGAAAAAAAUUAACCUUAUUAGAAUUUUUGUCUCCCUUUAUAAAGAAAAUUUACACAUUCUCUAUUUUCCUCUCAAAAGACUGCAACAAAAAUGUUAUGUUUCUUAUUCUAAAACUUUCAAACCUCUCUCUAAUCUCUUUGAACUUAAAAAUACCAAACUUUAUAUCAAUUUAUAGUUAUUUCAUGUUUCUUAUUGAUUUAUUUUGUUUUUGCAGAUUUUUCAUUUCAUGGUUCUUAUCUUCCACUCUUUUAAGGGUAGAUCUAUAAAUCUUAUUUUUCUUAUUUGGUAACCUAUUGUUGCUUAAAGAUUUUACCUUUUGAAAACUCUUUUGGUUAUUUUAAAUUCGUACUUUAUUUUUGAAGUUUUUCUAUGUUUUGAACUUUUGGAUAUGCAGGUUUUUUCAGAGCUGAGACAGACAUGGAAGACUUCCAUGGAAGACUUCCAGGGAAGACUUCUCGGAAGUCUUCUACCAUUUAAUGCACUAGAAGAUUUCCUGGAAGUCUUCUGGCGGAAUCUUCUCCCAUGUCUCCUCGUUCAUUUCAGAUAUGAGUGUUUUGGUAAGUAUAUAUGUCUAGAUUUUUCUUCAUUUGGUAACCUCUGGUUGCUUAAACCUUUUAUAUUUUUUACAAUUUAUCAUUUUUUUUGUAAACACCAAACUUUAUAUCAAUUUAUCAUUUUUUGUCUCAUGUCAUUCUCACUAAUUCAUCUUGUUUUGUAGAUUUUUCAUUACAUGGUUCUCAUCUUCCACUCCGUUAAAGGUAAAUCUAUAAAUCAUAUUUUCUUAUUUGGUAAUCUCUUGUUGAUUAAAGCUCUUUCUUUUUGAAAAUUCUUUUGGUUGUUUCAAGCUUUUACCUUAUUUUUGAAGUUUUUAUAUGUUUUGAAGACAUUUGAAUGGUUUUGGAUAUGCAUGUUUUUUAGAUCUAAGACAUAUUUCCUUAAAAAAUCUUCCAAGUCUUCUCGGAAAUCUUCUAACAUUUAAUGUACUAGACGACUUCCUGCAAGUCUUCUGGAAGUCUUCUGACAAAGUUUUCUCCCAUAUCAAGUGGAGUCUAAGCUUGUCUUUGUGGAGGAAUGGGAUAUAAUAGUUUUAUUUAUGGUAUGUUUUGUAAUUUGUAUGUAUACUCUUUUAGUUGUGAAUUCUUUUGUAAAUUUGAAAAAAAUAUUAACAAUUUUUUUGGUAAAUAUGUUCAUGUCUACAAUAUUAUCUUGCCAAAAAUACUUGCAUUAUUAAAGUUAUUUAUACAACUUCAAUAGCAAAACACAAUAAUACAAAAAAAUUAGUCAAAUUUAUUACAACUAAUGGAGAAAACUUCUCAAGAAAACUUAGUCAAAUUCACAAAAGAUCAAACAUUACAUUAGUUCAAACAUAUAACAGUUUCACUAGAAGUCUUGUGGGAAGUCUUCGGGAAGAUUUCUUCUCAGAAAAAAUUUCGGAAGACUUAAAUUUCAAGCAGAAAAUUUAAAUAUAAGCGGGAAAUUUAAGCGGAAAAUUAAAAUUUAAGCGGGAAACUCAAAUUUUAAGUGAAAAUUAAAAUUUCAAAUUUCAUGAAAGUUAAAAAAUAUAUCUUAUGAUCUAAGAAGACACAUCAAACCAUAUGACUUGAUAUUCUUAAAGUUAUUUAACACUUUUGAAAAUUAAAAAAUAUAUAUAUCUUAAAGUUGAAAAUACAAGUUUUACAACAACUAAUGUAGAAAACUUAUGGGAAAGUCUUCUCUCAUUAGGUAGAAACAUUAAGAAGCAUGACUGUUGUUAACUUCAUAAUUAUCACCAAUUAAGUUAUGAAUUUCAUUCAUGAGCCCAAUACAUUAAUUAACAAGAAAAUGUUAAAAAGUCUUUAUAGUUUUAGAGAAAAUAAAAUUUUAUUAAACGUUGACGUAGACGACUUCCACGGAAGUCGUCCGGAAGACUUACACGGAAAUCUUCUGGUCAAUGCGUAGGUUAGUUUUGCAAUUGACUUUAUGUGUCAGAAAUUUGACUUUUCCUAGACGACUUACGGAUAAACAUGUUAGUUUUGCAUUUGACCGUACUGUGUCAGAAAUUUGAUUUUUCCUAAACGGCUUACACGAAAGUCGUCCAAAAGAAAAGUAAAAUUUAAAUAUUUAUAUUUUUCUAGACGACUUCCAUGUAAACCGUUUCAGGUUACUUUUGCAAUUGAAAAAUAAAACUUAAAUAUUUUAUUUUAUCCGGACGACUUCCAUCACAGAAGUCUUCUGACAAACGACUCACACAUAAGUCUUCUGUAAUAACCAAGGUUUGACUAAAAUCUCGGAAUAAAAUCCUGGAAGACUUCCAUGUAAGUCUUCCGACAGACGACUUACAUAGAAGUCUUCUGUAAUAACCAAGGUUUGACUAGAAUAUCGAAAUAAAAUCCUGUAAGACUUUCGUGUAAGUCGUCUACCGGAAGACUUAUAUGGAAAUCAUCUGGAUAAAAUUAAAUAUUUAAGUUUUAAUUUUCAAUUGAAAAAGUAACCUGAAACGACUUAUUUGGAAGGUGUCUAGUAAAAGUUAAAUAUUUAAUUUUUAUUUUUCUGUUGGACGACUUCCGUGUAAGUUGUCUAGGAAAAGUCAAAUUUCUGACACAAUCCGGUCAAAUCCAAAACUGACAUGUUUAUCCUAGACGAUUUACCGGGAAGUCUUCUUUAAUUUUUUUGAAAACAAAGAAAACCGGAAGACUUCCAGAUAAGUCGUCUAGAAAAGAUACACAUAAAGUCAAUUGUGAAACUAACAUAUGCAUUGACCAGAGCAAAACUAACACAUGCAUUGACCAGAAGACUUCCGUGUAAGUCUUCUCGUCGGAGAAGACUUACACGUAAGUCUUCUGACAGACAGAUCUGGAAAAAAAAUUGAUUUCAUAACUUUAACCAGUGAGAUAACUUGUUUAGCUUCUCCAACCACACAAUACUUCACCACCAAAGCAACCUACUUGACCACGAAUCAUGAGCUUGAAUGGUUCGAAGAACCUUAAUAAUUUUAGAAUCAAAAUCUUGGGUUUUAUUAGAUGAAUAUAGAGAGAAAGUGAAACAGAUGUUUUUUUUAGUUCAUAAGAAAUAAGAUAAAGGAGUAAUCGAUUUUUAGGUGCAUUAAAAGCUUCAAAUUGGUUGUUCAUGGUGGUUGGUGUAUUGAUGGCAAUGACAAUAUUGUAAAUACUUGAAGAAGAUGGAGAUGAGAGAGUAAAACACUUAUUUUCGAAAAGAAAAAAAUAAUAAUAGCAUUUUCGUAAAUAAUCCGAACUUUUGGAGUGAAUAAGGCAAAUGAAAGUUCCAAAAAAACGUGGAUUAGUUUUGUGUUUGACUUCGAGUUUUGAGCCAUAUUUGCAAAAAUUAAAAUGAAAAAUUUGGAGUAACUAUUUAUUAAUAUAUAGAAAUAUAAAAGGUAUAGUAAAAAGUUAAAAUGUUAAAAUUAAAUUGAUAUCUAUAUUAACUCACUAAAAGUUUACAUCAAUAGAUUUUUACAGAAAAAGUUCACAAGUUUAUUUUUAGAAUAUAGUCUACAUGUUAUUGAGAAUGUUCAAGUAAACUUGUAAAAUAUAAAAACAAAUAUGGAAAAUUAAUGUCAUAAUUUAUUUAUUUUUAAAAUAUCAAUAUUUUUCAUAGAAGCAAAAUAUUUUCUUAAAUGUGAAAUAUUCAGUCAACAUAAAAAUAUUUAAUGUAUUAAAAAUACAAAAAAAAAUUAUUAAUAUAUAUAAAUUUAAAAGGUAUAGUAAAAACUAAAAACAAAUGUUAAAUUAAUUUGCUAUCAAUAUUAAUUUACAGGAAAAUUAGCAUCGAUAUAUUUUAACAGAAAAAAAGUUCACAAGUUUAUUUUACGAUAUAGACUAUAUGUUAUUGAGAAUGUUCACAUAGACUUUAAAAAUAUCAACAAAAUAUGAAAAUAACCAUUAUAAUUUAUUUCUUUUUAAAAUAUCGAGGGUUUUCAAAAAUAAAAAAAAUAUUACUAUGAAAUAAAAUGAACAUAAACAUCAAAUAUUGUAAACAAACAAAGAGAAAGUUAUCAAAAAUGAAUUAACUUGAUGUAGAUUUUUAUUCUGUAGAAGAGUAACAUUAAAAGAUAUUAAUAAAAACAUAAUAUAUCAUAUAUACCAAAAUAAAAUAGAUAACUAAUCUAUCAAAAUUAACCUAAUAAAAAAAUUAAAAGAAAAUUAAGAUGAAUUUUUGUAUGGGAACUUUUCUUAUUUCAAAAUUUUUGGUAUCAAUUUAAGUAAUAAUCUAAAUUUGGCAUCGUACUGAGUUGUUAAAUGCCAAUGAGUCUGAGAUGGUUGCAGUUAAAGAGAGGUUGCGGGAAAAUGUGGAAGAUGUCAGUUUCUGGAGAAGAAGCUCGGGUUUUAACGAUAAGUUUUCUACCCAGGAGACUGGUUUUUAACUCGUACCUCUGAUGCUCAUAUUGAUUGGGUACAAGCUGUUUGGUUCUUGCAGAUUACACCCAAGUAUGCUUUUAUUACAUGGUUAGCCAUGUUGGAUAGGCUAAGUACUAUGGACAGGGUUGCGAGAUGGAAUAGUGGUGUUGAUGUUACUUGUGCUCUUUGUAAGAAUGCUGCAGAGUCUCGUAGUCAUCUGUUCUUCGAGUGCUCUUACUCUUCUCAGAUAUGGGAGCAUCUUAUGCUUGGCAUCCUUAGGGGUUCGUAUACAAUUGACUGGAAUGCAAUUGUGGCUUUUCUUAAACAGUCUGAUAGAGAUAAGAAGAGAUCCUUUUGUUUGAGAUAUGGCUUUUAAACCAUCAUCUAUGUGAUAUGGCGUGAAAGGAAUAAGAUUAAGCACGGAGAAAGUCCAUUGCCUAUGAAUGCAGUGAAGAAGCUUAUUGAUAAGAGAGUUAGGAACAAGUUAAGCCUACUGAGAUCAAGAGGAGGUAAGGGUAUGGAAUCUGCCCUUCAAUAUUGGUUUAGCACAAGGACAUGAGGUUUGGAGGUUUGGGAAUACUUUGGAGGUUUGGGAGGGUUUGAAGUUAUUGAGUUUAAAGAUAGGAUUUCCUUUGUUAAGGUCUACACUCUGAUGUAAAAAAACUUUUUUGAUGAAUAAAAUUUAACAUUCAUUCAAAAAAAAAAAAUCUAAAUCUAUAUAUAUAAAAAAAUAUUUUCCUCCCUCCUAUUGCGCCACGUCAUAAAGUCAUUGAUUGUGAGUGCGACACCUGUCUUCUUUGCCUAAAACUCAUCGUUUCAUUAACUUAUGAUGUGGGCUGCUGCGUUUCAUAAUUGUUUACGAUUUAGUGGGCUUUUUGUUCACACCGUGAUAUAGCCCAAAUACAGAGAGAUAGCCACUAUAAUGAAAACAUAUGUAAAGACUGAAACUUUUGAAACGAGAAGGAAAAGAAGGAGUGUACCGUGAGUUUCUGGAUGCUACUGACUUCGCCUUGGUUGGAGGCGAUAUCAACGGUGACGGUUCAUUUCGCUGCCACCUCUGGUAACUCAAUAACAUUCAAGAUUUUAAAAUUAUUGGCGAUGGGUUUUGCAGAGUAUGAAGAGGCAGAGGGAAGAGGAUGAUGAGCAACAACAGUGAAGAGGUUAAAAAAGAAAAUUGAACCAAUUAAUAAAAAUAUUCCACAGUUUAAGCGGCGAGUAAAUCAGAUCGGUUUCUCAAUUCCGCUAUGACUCGAUCAAGAGAGAAAUAUAGUUUUUUCCAAAGAAACAUAGAUAUUAUCAAAGCAAAGAUUGCUCCGAACGAAUCAUAAGAAGAUAAGGAAGCAAUCAAAGGUUUUUAUUUCAUUUUUUAAUUAGUUAUUUGGAGUUAACAUGAAUGGAAGUGCCAUACACGCGCAGAGACAUGCGUGUUGGUGGGAUAUGAGAUACAUAUUUUAAACUUAAAAGGGAAAAAGACAGGAAGCAAUGCGUUCUAUGCACAUUGGGUCUUUUCUUUUGAGCCUUUUGUUUCAAAUAAAAACGACAGGACAUAACCGGAUUUACUUCGGUUUAAUUUAGAUUCGAUUCAACUUAAAUGCAUGCAUGAUUUUAAGCUACACAAGUUUUAUUCAAUAAAUAAACCAACAGAAAAUUUUAUUGUAAGAAAUUGGGUUAAUUGGAAUUCAUAAGGCAGAAAACAAUAAAUAAUUAAAAAUAAUUUUAUAAUUAUCUAGCUACUUAUAUUUAUAUAAUAUUUAUAUAUCAAAAUAGCAUAAAUAUACGAUUAUAAUUAAUAUUUAAAUAAAAAAUCCGGGCGUAAUUAACCCGGGCCGACCCUAGUUUAUAAUAUAUUUCAAAGUAUCUAAAAUAAACUAAAACGACUGAUGAUUUUAGUUCUUUUCUUUCUACCGAUCCACUUCAUUCUUUAGCUUUCAAUGAGUUUACAAAACUUUUGUUGAAAAACCACAGAUAAGAACAAUAUUGAGACACAUAUUGUUAAAAAGAUAGUUUAUCAAUGAGUUUAAGCUGUUUUUUAUCAAUCAAAAGGAAUUUAUAAAGUUGUUUUUAAUAGUCAACACUAUUAUAUUAUGUUUUGAGACAAUCAAAACCUUCAAACAAAUCAAAUAGGGUAUUAUGAAGUAAACUUAAAGAUGGGUGUACUCUAUACUUUAUUUUUUUAAAUUACAUCAUUAACAAUACAGCAAAUUACAUGUUAACUUCUUAUAAACAUAUAAUCCGAGUAACCAAUAAAAAGUAUAAAAUGAAUGCUUAUGUCAAUUUUAGUGAAGAAACCCGUACAAUAUAUAAAAUUAAAGAUGGUCUCAGACGAGUUUGUCAAACAAAUAUAUUUAGAGGAUAAUAUUUAUAAGAUAGGUGAAAAAUAAUCAAAAUAAACUUUCUAAAUAAGUUUCUAAAAUUACAGAAAGUAAAUAUAGACUCCACAAAAACAUAAGAGAGUGAUAUAAAAAUAGUCAAUAUACUAACAACAAAGUAAAAACAGUGAAAUUUUACAAAAUUCUAUAAAAAGUUCAAAAUUAAAAUAAUUAUGCCAUGUAAGAAAGGGCCCCUGUAAGAAAUCUACUAAAACUUUACUCUAAAUUACCAGAUGAAAGCAAUUGUCAGGAUUCAAAAAGUCUUAAGAAGCUUCAUGUAUUAUAAAAAUAUUUACAAUAGUAUUCUAGUUAAAUAAAGCUAUGUAUUAAAACAUUUAUCUUAAAUAUUUAUAAUCUUUAUCAUAAAUCUUUACAAUAUCUGUAAAUCUUAAUUUAAAAUUAAUUAAACAAUAAAAUUUCAACUAAAAUAUGUGCAAAAAAAUAUAAAAGAUCACACAUUUAUUGUAUAACUCUCAUAAGUAAAAAAGUAAAAUAAAUAAUAUGCAUAUAAAUUAAUCGUUUAUAAAAUAAGUAAAAAUUAUAAAAAAAAAUAUUUGCAAUAGUAUAGUAGCGGUUUAUAUGCAUUGAGUAAUUUAUACAGUAUUUAAAAAAUGGCAAUUCUCUCAAAUAGACUUUUUUAAGUUUUUAUCACAAAAAUAGCCCUCAAAAAAUAAAAUGACCAAAAUAACCUUUUUAUUUUGAAAAUUUUAAUAUUUUUUUUAUUUUUAAAAAUUUGAAUCUAUCCCCAAAGCCCAACCCCUUAACUCUAAACCCUAAGUCUUAGAUUAGUUAACUCUAAGGGUAUAAAUGCAUAUUUACCUUUCAAUAAAAUUUCUUUUGGUCAUUUUCUUUCUUGGAAGUCUAUUUUUGUGAAAAUAAACUAAAAAGGGCUAUCUAAGAGAAUUUCUCUUUAAAAAAUAAAAUUUUAUAUAAUAAAUAUAAAAAUGAUUAUAAAUAAAAUUUUAGUUUUAAAAAUACAGACAAAUAUAUACUAAAUAGUAAUUAUUUUCAAGAGUAUAAUUUUAUAAACAAAAUAAACGUAACUAGUAAAUUAUUAUAUUAUAUUUUAAAUAAAUUUUCCAAGAAAUAAAAUUUAUAUAAAUAAAAAUUUAUAAAUCAGUUCUAGUUGAAAACUUUUUUUAAAAAAAUUUAAACAAAAUUAUUAAUACAGAUUCGUGCGUAGCGAACAUAAAAUAUAGUUCACAUAAAAAGAUUAUGUGAUAGGAAAUUAUCGCUCAAGAUUGGUCCCAAGCAUAGGCUAUUGAAACACUGGCUUAUAAUUUCCAAAAUAUUAGGAAAAAUUUACAUAUAUAUAGAUCUUUAAAUUUGCAAAAAAAAAGAUUAUGUAAUUUUUUUUUAAAUUAACUACAACCUCUAAAAUUUCAGGUAUGCACUACUAUGAUAACAUAAAAGAAAGUUAGAAACAACAAUGAAAUACGUCAUUUCUUGCGGCCCUUUUACAAACAAAACAAAGCCAUCCCGUAAGGCACGCAUGAGCCACUUGCGGCCCUUUUUACACACAAACAAAACCAUCCCACAAGGCACGCAUGAGUCAUUAGCAAUGAACAAUAGUGCCAUCGUAAAAAAAAACAGUAGCAAAAUCGAUAAAAUAGGAAAGUUCAAAAUAUAGUUGUACUUGUGAUUUGCACCAGAAGUUUCAAUGGUUUUUCUCAUAGUGCCUUAUGUAAAGAACAGUUUUUAUAAGUAAUACCUAGUACGUACUGUAUAUAUAUGUAUUAAGCACAGCAAAGUUAUCACCGGUUCUAAACUUUUUCUUCGGUUCUAAUAUUCUCCCUCUGAACGAAACUAAUAUCCAAACAUGCAAAGAAUCGGGAGGAUUGGGAAGGUCAAAGAAAAUAACACACGACCGGUAAAUGUGGAAGAAACACGAGAAUAGUGGUGGUUUUGGAGACGGAAGAAAGAGAAACGGUAAACCAAGUCAUCUUGGUCUAGUGGUAAAAGGAUUCCAGUUGGAGUUUUCGUUCUGGUUUCGAGUAGCAUUAGCCACCUGUAGACACUCUAAGUGGCGAGAAAACUCGGAUUUCUAUGGACCUCGUAGGAUUAUUCUUUGGGCUUAAAAAGCCUUUGAAAUCCCCACGAUUAUCAGAAGAAAAAAAAAUAGUACAAGCAAAACCAUAAAAAAAGGAAGAAGAGAGAGAAAGAGGAGAGUUCUCGUACGGUACGGUAGACGAAAGGCCGUACUGACGAUGGAGGUUAAAUCUCAUCCUAAACGGGUUGAGAGAGUUUCACCUUUUGUUUUUACCGCAAACUCAGUGUACUCCUCAGUAUAGUUAAACAGUGAUAAUAUCUAGAUAAUAAAAGUAUAGUGAUCAGUUUAAUCGGAUGUAUUAUGUUGAAGCAAGUACAUCGCAUCAAUUGGGUCAUAUCAAGUGUGUCACAUAAAGUUUAUGGAUCUUACAUCUGAUUGUUGAGCUUAAGGCCGUGUAUCUGAUGAGCCCUAGAGUUUUAGGAUGCGGAAUAACUUUUAUAUAUAUCAUGUAUUCUUGUAAUCCUAAAAUAAAUUGAAUAUUGCCUCCAAAUAACAAAAAAAAAUUAUUUCUAGGCAUAGCCAAAUUGAUGAACCACAUUACAUAUAUUGUUGUAUCUUUGUUCAUAUAUAUUGUUGUGUCUUUGUUACAUCAUUUUAUCAUUUGUUUUAAUGCAACAUCACGACCAGUCUUAUGUUUUAAGAUUUGAGUUACAGUUAUAAAUAAAGUUUCUAUCAAAAAUACAAGUGAAAAUAAUAAAAUCCUAAACACUCCACGUACAGAUUUAUGUUAUAUGUUAUACUUUUUGUUUGUAUAUAAACUAUUAUUUAUAUUUCCAAAACCACCAUAGCAAUAUCUUAUUCUUAUUUCUACAAAUAAACAAUAUUAUCAACUUCAUCUAAUUUUGUGUUAGUCAAAUAUUUUUAUUUCCUUUCUUGUUCCUAUUUUUGAAUUAUUAGUUUUAAAAUUAUUAUUUUACAUAAUCUUAUUAGUUGUAAAUUCUUUUGGAUUGGAAAUAUAUAAAUUAUUUUGUUAUUGAUAUCGGAUAAAUAAUAUCAUCAGUAAGUAUAGUUCUUAGAAGAAUAUAUAUUGCAACUUAUUUUUGUUAAAAAUUAUUUUUAUACAUAUUAAAAAUAAGUUUUUAUUAUUUAUUUAUUUUUAAAUAGUUUAAUAGUUUUUGUUAUUAAUAAUAAUUCAUUAUUAUAUAUUUAUAUUUAUAUUUAUUUUAUUAAAAACUACUCUGGAACUUAUACAUCAAAAAUGUUACCAGUCAUCAGUUUUACUAAAAUAGUAACUCUUGUUUUUACUAAAAAUUUACCAUAUAAAAUUACAGUUUUUAUCACAUAAUUUUUACUGCAAGUUAUAUCGAAUUGUAAUACAUAUUGCAACUCGACUUCAAUAUUAUAUAUCAACAAACGGAGCCUUUGUUUCCAUAUAUCUGUAACAACAUACUAUCUCAUGUUGAGCAUAGGUAGACUUAUGUGAACAAAAGUCUUUAAUGUUUGUCUCAGGUGAAGAGAAGUCUCAAAACCAUAGUAUUUACGGGAAAAAAUCAAAUGUGUGUGGGAAAACCAAUGUAACUUGCAAACAAAAUAUACGUUAAUAGAAAUUUGGACUUUACAUAAGUACAGCAAAUAGUCUUUAGUUAUGAAUUAAAAGGCUAUAUUCACUAUUUCACUUAGUUAAUGGGUUUCGAACAUCAUUAUGGUUUUCUUAACACCACAUGGCAUGAAGAUUCUAUGAGAAUCUAAGAAUGAAAUGAUUAAGAUAGAACUUGAGUAGAUUAUGAGAGAUUAUGAAGAGUUUAGUGUAGAAUCAUGAUUGAGAGAGUAUGAUAAGAUAAAGAGAAACUCAGAACUGUAUAUUUAUUAUUAAUGACAAGAGUUGCAAUAUAUAGUGAGAGAUCAGUAGGGUUUUCGAAAUCAUAAAGGAUAGCUAAGCAUGUGAAGUCAACAAGGUUAGGAUAAGCUCUCUUUAACUCGGCCAAUCAGCGUUCCCACAUGCUUGGAGCAUCUAGGAUCUUGGACAAAGAUGCUCUUGCCUUUCCAGCUGUGCCAGCCUGUAAAGCCGCGCCUCUCUUAUCCUCCAACGGUCUGAUUCAUCAGCCAAAGCCCCUUCUCUUCCCAUAAGUUACUCGGGUAACUCCUUGUAACCGCGGUCAUGGUUUCACUGGUCUGAAUGUGUACGGACCGUACGGCCUUGUACGGCCUUGUACGGUCAGGCCACUGUGAACCUCUCCCAUCACACCAAUGCUUAACACACUCUCUUCAGUCUUAACCCCUUUGUACUUCACACUUGUAUACUCAACUCUUCUCAACACUCCCCCUCAAGCUUAGCUUUGUGAUACCUACAAGGGUAUUGAAGGAUCAAGCACCAUUUGAGGUACUGAACCAGCGCAAGCCAUCUUUGACAUAUAUGAGAGUGUUUGGAUGCUUGUGUUAUGUGUUGGUACCAGGAGAGUUGAGGAACAAGCUAGAAGCAAGAAGCAGAAAGGCAAUGUUCAUUGGCUACUCAACAACUCAAAAAGGAUAUAAGUGUUAUGAUCCAGAAGCUAGAAGGGUACUUGUAUCUAGAGAUGUGAAGUUCAUUGAAGNNNNNNNNNNNNNNNNNNNNNNNNNNNNNNNNNNNNNNNNNNNNNNNNNNNNNNNNNNNNNNNNNNNNNNNNNNNNNNNNNNNNNNNNNNNNNNNNNNNNNNNNNNNNNNNNNNNNNNNNNNNNNNNNNNNNNNNNNNNNNNNNNNNNNNNNNNNNNNNNNNNNNNNNNNNNNNNNNNNNNNNNNNNNNNNNNNNNNNNNNNNNNNNNNNNNNNNNNNNNNNNNNNNNNNNNNNNNNNNNNNNNNNNNNNNNNNNNNNNNNNNNNNNNNNNNNNNNNNNNNNNNNNNNNNNNNNNNNNNNNNNNNNNNNNNNNNNNNNNNNNNNNNNNNNNNNNNNNNNNNNNNNNNNNNNNNNNNNNNNNNNNNNNNNNNNNNNNNNNAACAAAGUAUGGUCUAGUUCAGACUUCCUGAAGCCUUUUCCAUUCAGUGUAGUACUCAGCUUGUGAUACCAGGCUCUAGGUGAUUGCUUCAAUCCAUAGAUAGCCUUCUUCAACCUUAGGACAUUCCCUGGCUUCACAAGACUCUCAAGACCCGGAAGAGGCUGCAUAUACACUUCAUCUUCAAGUUCCCCUUGUAGAAAUGCAUUCUUCACAUCCAUUUGCCACAAUCCCCAUUCAAGGUUGGUAGCAAUUGAUAAGAUGAUUCGGAUGGUGUGAAGCUUAGCCACUGGAGCAAAUGUGUCUAUGUAGUCCUCUCCAUAUGUCUGUGUAAACCCUCUAGCCACAAGCCUGGUCUUCUUCCUAUCAACUGUCCCAUCUGGUCUAUACUUGAUUGUAAAUAUCCAUUUACAUGACACUGCUCUCUUCCCUUUAGGCAGCUCACUCUCAUACCAAGUCCCAUUCUUGAUCAUAGCAUCAGACUCAUCCGCAACUGAGUUCCUCCAGUCUUCAUCCUUUAUAGCCUCCCCAUACGUUCUUGGUAUGUAGCUCUCAUCCAGACUUGUUAUGAAUGCACAAUGAUCCCUUGGAAACUCGGCAAAAGAGCACACUGCCUGACUUGGAUGAGCUACUGCUUGUGCAUUGUAGUAGACCCUGGUGUUUGCCCAGUUAGAUGGAUCUUUCCUUACUCUUGUACUCCUCCUCAGAGGCGCAGGCACACUCUCCACAACUGGAGCACUAGUCAUGUUCUCCAUUUCUUCUUCCUCUUCUUCAGGUACAAGUGGUGUACCUCCACUUUGAUCCCUUACUUCACUUGACUCUUCAUCAUUGAUCCCACUUUGAUCAUGACUAGCUGAGUCUCUUCCUUCUUCAUGUACCGCCUCAGACUUGUCUUCCCCCUCAUGAUCAAUGUGGGAUGUUUCUUCAGCUUCAUUCCUAGUAGGCGUCUCUUGCGCCUUUGGAUCCUGGGUUAGAUUAAUCCCAAGACCCUCUAAGAUCAUCCUAAGGCUUGUAGCCUUAUCAGAUGUUUGAGCUAGAUCCUUCAGAUCUUCCCAGCUCCUUUCUUCAUAGUAUCCUCUUGUUUCAAUGAACUUGACAUCUCUUGAUACCAGAACUCUUCUUGAUUCUGGAUCAAAGCAUUUAUACCCCUUUUGAGUAGUUGAGUAUCCCACAAACAUUGCUUUAGUACUCCUCGGUUCCAACUUGUUUCUCAUCUCCCCGGGGACAAGUACAUAACACAAACACCCAAACACUUUAAGAUGACUUAGAGAUGGCUUGGUCUUGUUCAAUACUUCAAACGGUGACUGAUCUUCCAAGAUUCUUGUAGGCACCCGGUUGAUCAAAUAGCACGCAGCUUGUACAGCAUCACUCCAAAAUCUCUUAGGUGCAUUGGUUUGGAACAUCAUGGAUCUAGCUACUUCCAUUAGGUGUCUAUUCUUUCUCUCCGCAACCCCAUUCUGUUGUGGAGUAUAAGGACAGCUUGUUUGAUGUAGAAUCCCAUGUAGAGCCAGAUGUUGCUUGAAGGCAUGACUUGUGUAUUCUCCACCAUUAUCUGAUCUGAAAAUCUUAAGCUUAGCAUUGUACUGGUUAGUUACAUAAGUCUGAAAAUUCUUAAAUGCUUCAAGAACUCUAUCCUUAGUCUUUAUAAGUGUUAUCCAGGUGUAUUUAGAUUUUUCAUCAAUGAAUGUGACAAAGUACUUAUAGUUUUCUCUAGAUAAGCAAGGAGCAGUCCAUACAUCAGAAUGUACAAGGUCAAAACACUUCUCAUAGAUAGUACUUGAUUUCUUAAAGACAGUCUUACAAUGUUUUCCCAAAAUACAUGCCUCACAAUCAUUAUUUUUAAACAUGACACCUGGUAACAUUAAGCUUAAGGCUCUAACAUGUGGAUGACCUAAUCUAGCAUGCCAUAAUGCAUCAUUAUUGAUACUUGAACUAGAACUAAACGAGCAAAUUGAACUGGAAAUAGGAGCUAAGUCUUCUAGCAUAUAGAGUUCUCCCUUUGUCACUCCUUUGCCAAUCAUCUUACUUGUCUCAAUAUCCUGAAACUUCACAUCAUUAGGACUGAAUAUAACAUUGCAAUGUAAAUCAGUAGUGCAUUUCUUAACAGAUAACAAGUUUGAUGUGAAUUCAGGCAUAUAAAGAGCUCUAGACUCUUUAUUAAACAGUUUUAGAUUUCCUAUUCCUGUUAUUGCAAUCCUAUCACCAUUAGCAAUCAUUACAUGACCCUGAGCAGGUUCUAUGUCUUUAAUCAAGCUAUUAUCACUAAUCAUGUGAUGGGAAGCACCUGAAUCUACAAUCAGUGAUUUUAUUACAUUAUGCGCAGCAAAGGUACUUGGUUGUCUCAGGUUAUCUAAUCUAGAUGCACCACUUAACUUGAAUUCAGGAUCACUACUGAGAUGAGCACAAGUCCUAUCUAGGUAUGAUGCAGCAAGAGAGUAACAAGGGUUAUUUCCAAUACAGUUACCAUUCUCCUUGAGAGCUUUGAUGAGGGCGUCUAUGUCUGAUCUCCGGAUCAACUCGCCUUCAGUGCUCCUCAAGGGUGUGUGCUGAGUAGUUAAGGCUCUCCCCUCACCCUCACGCAUUGCUGAGCCAGCCCCGGAUGAGCUAGCUUCUCCUCCUUCAUUAGAUAGGUGCGCCCUUGCCUCUCUAUCUUUCAUGAACUUAGCUGGCUUGAGAUGAGGAUGUAGGAUCCAGCACUGGCUCCUUUUGUGACCUAGCUUCUUGCAAUGAUCACAGUUGCCCCCAAACUUCCUCUCCUCACUCUUGUAUGCCGCUUUGUUUGCUUGAGCUCCAUCCGCAUGGUUAGCUAAGGUGAGCUCCCCCUUUCCUCCAAACAGCCCCACUGACCCUUCUUCUUUCUGUAUCUGAGCGCACACAUCUUCAAGUGAUGGUAGCUUUGGAGACCUCAGUAUGUGUUUGAUCAGAUCGUUAAAGAUAGGGUUCAAUGUCAGCAACAGCCCAAACACUUGAUCUUGAGCCCUCCUCUCCAUAAGAGUGUCAUGAUCAGUGGUGUUGGGUCUCAGCAUUUCUAGUUCAGACCAUAAGGCUCUGAACUUUCCCAAAUGCUUUACUCAACCUCUUCUUGCGCAAGUGUGUUGAUUGAUCUCUUCAACUCAAACACCCGGCUCAGAUUGGAUGUGUUCCCAUAGACCUUUUGAAGAGUAUCCCACAGGUCUUUUGGCGUCUCACAGUAGAUGUAGGCCUCCAAGAUUGAAGCUUCAAGCGACCCAUGAAGAACUGUCAACACCUUCAAGUCGUCUUGAUCCCACUUCUCUUGGUCCGCUACCAUCAGCUCUUGACCGCCUUCUCCCUCCGUAGAAACUGGCUUUGGAGUUCCAUCUGAGAUGUGACUCCACAAACCCUUGCUCCCAACUGCAGCUUUCACCAGGCGAGACCACAGCAAGUAGUUCCCACCUCCUUUCAACGUAACCGGAACCGUCAAAGUCUUGUUCUUGUCUUCCAUGAGUGUGACCGUGAGUAGAGAUGGUUUAGGAAUGAAGAUGGAGACUCUAGAGAUUUAGAAACCAGGAAAUGAGUAACCUGGCUCUGAUACCAUAUAAGAAUCUAAGAAUGAAAUGAUUAAGAUAGAACUUGGGUAGAUUAUGAGAGAUUAUGAAGAGUUUAGUGUAGAAUCAUGAUUGAGAGAGUAUGAUAAGAGAAAGGGAAACUCAGAACUGUAUGUUUAUUAUUAAUGACAAGAGUUACAAUAUAUAGUGAGAGAUCAGUAGGGUUUUCGAAAUCAUAAAGGAGAGCUAAGCAUGUGAAGUCAACAAGGUUAGGAUAAGCUCUCUUUAACUCGGCCAAUCAGCGUUCCCACAUGCUUGGAGCAUCUAGGAUCUUGGACAAAGAUGCUCUUGCCUUUCCAGCUGUGCCAGCCUGUAAAGCCGCGCCUCUCUUAUCCUCCAACGGUCUGAUUCAUCAGCCAAAGCCCCUUCUCUUCCUAUAAGUUACUCGGGUAACUCCUUGUAACCGCGGUCAAAGUUUCACUUGUCUGAAUGUGUACGGACCGUACGGCCUUGUACGGCCUUGUACGGUCAGGCCAAUGUGAACCUCUCCCAUCACACCAAUGCUUAACAUACUCUCUUCAGUCUUAACCCCUUUGUACUUCACACUUGUAUACUCAACUCUUCUCAACGGAUUCUAUCAAACCUAUAAACCAUCUUUAUAGUCUCAAACAAGUUAUAGUAAAUAUUUUCGACCAAAAAAGUUAUAGUGCAUAUGAAAAUUAAAAGACGUUAGUAUUAAAUAGAAACAAAGAAUCUCAAGAUAAUAAAACAAUAAUAAUCUCGAGAUAAUACUAAACUAUUAGUAAUUAGUGUAACUGGACAUAGGUAAACUUAUGUGAAAAGAAAAAGAGUCUUUACUUUUUGUCUUUGGUGAACAGAAGUCUUCGAACAUUAAAAUUUACAGAAAAAAAAAACAAUAAAUUUAGAGACAUAUCAAAAAGGAAAAACAAAAGUGGUCACUUUCAAAGCAGAAUAGUGGACACUUAACCGUGUUUAAGGGUUUUGAUGGUUUUCAAUAUUUUAUUCCCCUGGACAUUAUUAUUUGCAUGUGUCAUUACCACAUUUAUUUCACAAAAACAAUGACAUAGUUUUAAAAAAAACUGUGACAUUGCAUUAAGCUGAUUGUGACAUGUAAAAUUUCUUUAUGAAAUUAUAUUUGGCUAGAAUUUUUAAUAAGGUAAUGACUAUUAACUCUUAUACCAUUAUUAAACAUUUAAAUUUUAUGUAAUUAUAUUUAUUUUUGGCAAGACUUUUUAAAUAUUUAAUAAUUAAUAAUUUUUAUAUCAUCAUUAAAGAAAAUAUAAAAUAAACUAAACAUGACUACAUAUAACAUUUACAUUAAUUUAUAAAUUAAGAAAAUAAUUUAUAAAUUAAUUAAGAACAUGAUUUUCCACUAAAAGUAUUUUAACUAUAAUAAAAAAAAAUAUUAUUAAAAUUUAGGUAUUUAAAUAUAGACAAAAUUAAUUUGCAUAUGUGUCAUCACCAUAUUCAUUUUAAGAAAAUGACAUGGCUUUUGAAAUUAAAAUAUUAAUUAUAACUGUGUAUUAACAAAUAUAUAACUAAAAAAACACUAAUCAGUUUUUGUUGUUGAUGAUUAAUGAGUAAAACGUUUAUUAGCACUUAUCGGUUGAUUAGGUUAAUUAACAAAAAACUUUAUGGGCUUCAUGUAUUUAACUAAAACAAAUAAAAAUGUAACUUUAUUAAAUUUAAUAUAUAUAAAUAUAGACAUAUUUAAUAUUAGGAAAUAAGAUAAAUAUUUAAAUUAAAUAACCAAUAAAUAUAAUAAAAUAUAAAUAAAAAAAUUAUUUUUAGUAAAUGUAAUUAUAACUCUACUAAAUUUAAAUAAAAUAAAAUAGAAAUAGGUAACCAAAUUCGAAUUUUUUAAUAAAAAAAAUCACAUUUAUGAUUUUAUCUUUUUCCAAAUCGGUAAAUUUAAAAUAUAAAAAUAAUAAUAUCAAAAUGUAAAAUAAGUCUUGAAAAUAUUGUAAAGUUACAGUAAAAGUACAGAAAAUAAAAGAAAUGCUUUUCUAAAAUAAAAUAAAUACAAUAAGAUGCAAAGCUAAAAUUAGAGAAUAAUACAACACAGAGAUUAAAAUUUGAAGAAGUUUUCUUCUGAAUCAUUUUGCAUCUCAUUAUUCAACACCAUUUAUAUUUGGCUAUCAUUUUUAUGAUAUUUCAAAUUAUUUUUCGCAGUUUUGUUUGUUGUAUAAUAUUGUCCAUAUUCCACAUUAGAUCUACAUGUAUUUUUGAAAAAAUAAAUUCUAAUUUAUUGAUUCUCUCGAAAGAAAUAUUAAAUGAAAUUGCUAACUUUUAACAAUUCUAAAAUAUAUCUAUACAAUAAGGAAAUUGUAUUUUCAGUGAGGAAUGACCAAUAAACAUAUUGAAUUGUAAACAUAUAAUAUUUUUUGGUCGCAUCACUUCUAUACCCAUGACAAUGAACACUAUAGUGACUUCCAUGGUAAUUGUUUUCACAACAAAGUUGUUAAGAUGAGUUCCUUACCACUUACUAGUUUCUAAACAAUUAGAUUAAGUUGCUCACCUUCUAUCUCAGUUUCGAAUGCAAGACUCACAUGCUCACCGACGUGGCCUGGAACUCUGCCUCUCGUAAAGCAGGAGGUGGCUGGUACUGAAUUGAUCAUGAGAAUGUUGUUAUCUUGCAGGGUGCCCGAGUCUUUGAUCGUAUUUCCUCCCCACUGAUGGCGAAAGCCAUAACCAUCCGAUCUCUUGAAGCUGGAAUCACAGAAAUCUGCAUAAAAUCAGAUUGUCAAGUACUUAUUGCUGCUAUGUCUUCGAAACGUUUUCCGGCGGAUCUCUACGGAAUCUCCCGAGAUAUCGAGACUCUAUCUCUUUGCUUCCUUUGUAUUUCCUUUUGUUUUAUCCCGAGGAACCUGAACUCUAGAGCCAAUUCUUUGGCUAAGUCUGUAUUAAACUCUUCUCCCACCAACUAGUUUGGUCAGGGUAGCAUUUAUAAUAUUUGGUGUUCAAAAAAAAAAAUUAAGUUGCAUGACAUUGAUCUCACUCAAAUUACUCUAAAGAGUAAAUUUACUCUCUCAAAUAAGAGGUUUAUUGCAGUAUUUAGGGAUCGAAUCCACAAGGAGUUAGAGAACCUAAUAAAUCUAAUGGGUUUUGUUAAGUUGGAUGGUUUAAUGAUUAAAAUGUAAAUUUACAGUUUUGUUUGAGCAAGUAAUUGCUCGAUUGAUUGGUUGAGGUUUUGGUGCUUAAAAGAAAAUAGCUAGACUUAGGGUUUUUAUUUUUCCUUGAAAUUAUAAUCUUACGGAUGCCUAAUGGGUUGCAUGCAUGAUAAUGUAGAGCUCAACUACUAAGCAACAAGUCAAUCAGCUCUCGCGUUUCUGGACUUUUCUAUUAACUAGAUCUAAUGACCCAAACAAAUGUGUUCGAUCAAUAGCAAGUGUCGAUCGAUUAUCCUAUAGGGAUAUCGAUCGAUACACCUUUCACUCCGUCGAUCGAUUAUCCAAUAUGUAUAUCGAUCGACGCGCUUCUAAUUAGGAUUUAUGCGCAGGUUGAAUGAUGCUCACUAAGCUCACUAGAUCAGCUCUCGCCUUACUCUUAGCAAGAAACUUAGCUCAAUUAGAAUGGUUUCAGGAUGAGAAUGAAGCUAUCGCUUUUAUCUAACAAUCCUAGGGCAAAUUCUAGGUAGUUAAUCUAGAAUCAGGCAUUAAUGACAAUCCUAAUGAUUAUUAUCACAAUUCAGCAAUCUAUAGUUGGGGUUAAUCCCUCAUAACCUAUUUAAACCCUAAAAUCUAACAAUGGAACUAAUCAGACAUGGCCAAGCAAUUCAUAACAACAAUUAGGUAAGAAAACUUCAUUAGAAUAUUAAAUAGAUAUUAAUGGAGUUCCAAUCACAAAUAUAAUUUUGGAUCUUUUCUCCAAUAUAUCAAAAUCCUAAAAACCUUUUGCUGAUAUAAUAGUAAAACUAGAAACACAAGAAAAGCACACUUUGCCUCUAACAUGGUGGUAAGGCUUAUAUAAUUAGGUUAAAACUCGUCAGGGUAAUCUUGUAAAUUAGUGAAUACUUGGGCUUCAAGUCGGCUGUGACCAAACGGGCUUUCUGCGCGCUUCGCUGUCGAUCUAUGUUCACAUCGAUCGAUGUUCUGAUGUGAACAUCGAUCGAUAUUUGUUCCUCGAUAUCGACCGAUGGUCGAGCUCGACGGUCAUCUCGGAUGCUUACUCCAAAUAUCUCCAAAAUCAUCAAUUAUCUCCAAAUCACUCCUCAUCUUAUAAAUAUAAUAAAUAGAUUCUAUAAUAUAAUAAUUAGUAGUAAAAACACCUAUAAACCACGGUGAAAAUGGGUCAAAUUCGUGGUUUAUCAGACAUCGAUUAUGGACACAUAGUCUAUCCCGGAGAUUUCAAGAGCUGAUUGGAAAGGAAAAAAUUUAACUCUCAAUCCGCCUUAAAAAAAAAAAAUCCUCCUCUCAACAAAAGAAAAGUACAAAAGAUAGAGAAGCAUCGAGAGACUGAUCAUGCUUUGAUCAGAUUAGGGCUUGAGUAAUCUAGGACUUCUCCUUUAAGAUUACCAUUAACAUCGCAAGGAGAGAACGGUUACUCCCGUACAAACUUAUCUAUGUAUCUAUUGUUUAUAGCAUUAAAACCUUAUUUUUUUCUUAUUCGAUCAAAAAAUGUUUUGAUGCUAUAAACAAAAUAAAACAAUUUAAUAAAAUGAUGAUAAUAAUAAAAUUCAAGAAAAAUAACUAACAAAAACAAUUGUUAAUUAUGGUGUGAUUAAUAUACAAAUUUACUCAAGACUGUAUACUAUCUUUUAUAUAUAACUGCAUGUACUUGUAAAAUUGUUAAAUAAGCAUAAUUAUGAAAAUAAUAGAUAAAGAAUAAUUUGUAAAAGCAAUGGAUAAAAAGAUUAAGUUAAAGUUAAAAAUGUUGAUAAAUACAUAUAAAACAUUGGUUAGCCUUUAAAUAUUAGUGAAGUAUGAGUUAAGAAAUUUUUUUUAACAAAAACAAAAAAACUUUUUAAAACCAACACCACAAAAAUAAAACAUUUAAUAAAUAUGUAUAUUUUUAAUUUUAUAUUAAAUAAAUGCUCAAAGCCAAGGUUUAUUUUUCGAUUUAGUAGGCACGGCACCUAGUAAUAAUUCGUUCGUACGAGUUCAAUAUCUCCUCACUCUCUAUCUCGACUCUAUAUAAACUCUCUCGCAUAUUCACAUAUUCCACACAACUUCACAAAACAUGUCUUCUUCGUUUCUCUCCUCCACUGCUUCCUUCCUUUUUGUUCUUCUCUACAUUGGUUCCUUCCACGUCUCCGAUGGAGCUCAACAAGGAACAUACAUCGUUCACAUGGCGAAAUCUCAGAUGCCCUCGAGCUUCGACCACCACUCUCUCUGGUACGAGUCCUCUCUCAAGUCCAUCUCAGAAUCUGCUGAAAUGCUCUACACUUACAACAAUGCGAUUCACGGAUUUGCCACUCGGCUUACUCCCGAAGAAGCUGACUCGCUCAAGACUCAACCAGGUGUCAUCUCCGUUCGACCAGAGCAGCGGUAUGAGUUACACACCACUCGGACUCCACUAUUCCUCGGCCUCGGCGUACACAACUCCGGCCUGUUCCCUGAAACCGGUCCAGGCAGCGACGUCGUCAUCGGAGUUCUCGACACAGGUGUUUGGCCAGAGAGCAAAAGCUUCUCGGACGAAGGAUAUGGUCCUAUUCCGUCUACCUGGAAAGGCGAAUGCGAGGCUGGGACAAAAUUUACCACUU
rnacentral:lncRNA from 1 species